rnacentral:lncRNA from 1 species
UUCCAACUCUCUCACUUUCAACAUGAGCUUGGAUUGGGUUCCUCCAUUUCAACUGCUUUCUCUACGAUUAGCCUCCUGCAAAUUGGGACCUCGUUUUCCUAGUUGGCUUCGUACUCAAAACCAGUUGAGUGAGCUUGAUAUCUCCAAUUCUGAAAUUUCAGAUGUCCUCCCAGACUGGUUUUGGAAUGUAACCUCAACUGUCAAUACCUUGAGUAUUUCCAACAAUCGGAUCAAAGGGACCUUACCGAAUUUAUCAUCAGAAUUUGGUUCUUUUUCUAACAUAGAUAUGAGCUCAAACUGUUUUGAGGGUUCAAUACCACAACUUCCUUAUGAUGUGCAAUGGUUGGAUCUCUCCAAUAACAAGUUAUCGGGGUCCAUUUCUUUAUUAUGUACAGUUGGUACUGAGUUACUUCUACUUGACCUCUCAAACAACUCGUUGUCGGGAGGGCUGCCCAAUUGUUGGGCGCAGUGGGAAAGCUUGGUAGUUCUUAAUUUGGAAAAUAACAGAUUUUCUGGGCAAAUUCCAAUUUCAUUUGGUUCCUUGCGAUCAAUUCAAACACUACAUUUGCGCAACAACAAUUUAACUGGAGAAUUGCCUUUAUCUUUUAAGAAUUGUACAAGUUUGAGGUUCAUUGAUUUGGCAAAAAAUAGGUUAUCAGGAAAAAUACCAGAAUGGAUUGGAGGAAGCCUCCCAAAUCUGACUGUUCUAAACCUAGGAUCUAAUAGAUUCAGUGGAGGUAUAUGUCCAGAGCUAUGCCAAUUGAAAAAUAUUCAAAUAUUGGACCUCUCUAGCAACAAUAUGUUAGGUGUUGUACCGAGAUGUGUUGGUGGUUUCACUGCCAUGACUAAGAAAGGGAGCUUGGUCAUUGUUCAUAAUUAUUCAUUUGCAGACUUCUCUAGUAAGUAUUCACUUAUUAGGAAUGCCUUUUAUGUUGAUAGGGCAUUGGUUAAAUGGAAAGGAAGAGAAUUUGAAUAUAAAAGUACCCUUGGGCUUGUAAAGAGUAUUGAUUUUUCAAGCAACAAACUAUCGGGGGAAAUUCCAGAAGAAGUAAUUGAUCUUGUAGAAUUAGUUUCAUUAAACUUAUCAAGGAACAAUUUGACGAGAUUGAUCCCUGCAAGAAUUGGUCAAUUGAAAUCAUUGGAGGUUCUUGAUUUGUCUCAAAAUCAACUCUUUGGUGAAAUUCCAGCUAGCCUUGUUGAAAUAAGUGAUCUAAGUGUCUUAGAUCUCUCUGACAACAACUUGUCGGGUAAAAUUCCACAAGGUACUCAACUUCAAAGCUUCAAUAUUGAUUCCUACAAGGGAAAUCCUGCACUCUGUGGAUUGCCUCUUCUGAAAAAGUGUUUUGAAGAUAAAAUAAAGCAAGAUUCUCCUACUCAUAACAUUGAAGACAAAAUUCAGCAAGAUGGAAAUGACAUGUGGUUUUAUGUUAGCGUUGCUCUUGGAUUCAUUGUUGGAUUUUGGGGAGUGUGUGGAACUUUACUACUCAACAACUCAUGGAGAUAUGCCUAUUUCCAAUUCUUGAAUAAAAUAAAAGAUUGGCUCUACGUGAUUAUAGCAAUAAAUAUGGCUAGAUUACAAAGGAGUCUUCAAAGCUAAAUGGUACAAUUCUCUCCCUCUCUCACUCUCUUUCAUUUGUACUUGUUUUUUCAGGCUAACAAUUGUCAAAGAAAAGUAGGCCUUUACAUAUCCUUGGGAUAUACUUUAUAAAUCACGAAUGCUAAUGCAAAUUUUCUUUCCAAGCAACUAAUUGAAGGGAUUUUUUCAAAUUGAUGAACAUUGAUUUUUACUUUGUGUUAAUUGCAGGACUGCAACUCUUGUUCUUGCCAUAUUAGCAUGGUUGAAUGCAAAUCGUUGUGUCCUUCCUUCUAUGAUUGAUCUUGGGAUGUAAUAGGUUUCUUGUUUUAUUUUGAGGAUUACUAAUGUUCUUUAGAUGUGUAUUUUAUAUUUUAUUCAGAAAUUUGUGUGACAUAUUAUCUCUUUUCUUCCUUACACAAUGCUUUUAUUUGGUAUUUGGAUACUUUAUGAUUCAUCCAAACAGUAUUAUACAAGGAUAUCAAAGGUAUAUUAGAGUCCAACUUUCUAAUUUUAAAAAUAUUUCUUUAGCUCUAAAACUAAUUUUUUUUCAUUAAAAUUAAAACAAAAUAAAGGAUAAUGUCAUUUGGUUAUGUAUGACAUAAGUUUUCAACCAAUUAUUAAUAAUUAAAUCAUAAUUUCAAAACUAAAGAAUUUUUUUUUUCACAAGUUAUUAAUGAUAUGUUUCUCUCUUUCUAAAAAAACUAAAUUACUCUAAUAAAUGGGAAACUCUUACUUUCAGUUCGUUUAAGCUUUUUCACUUGAAGUUGUCUCACAUGUAGAUAAUUUUUGUGGAAUAUUUUGUUUUCAUCAAUUUUAUAAAAUAUUAAGUCUAACUUCUUUUCUUAAUAAAAGGUUUUUUCUAAGCAAUUAAAAAACCUCUUGUUCUUUUCUCUAUUUUAACAUAAUUCAACUUUAGGAUGACUAAAAUAUGAUUGAAAAAUAUAAAAUAAGAGAGAAUAAUUAUUUGGAUCUUAGCUGUAAUCAUUUUGAAGGGAGGCACAUACCUCCAUUCCUUGGUUCCCUCAGCAGAAUGCAGUACCUCAAUCUCUCCAGGGCCAAUUUCUCUCAAACUGUUCCCACUCAACUGGGAAAUCUUUCCAACUUGCUUUCCCUUGACCUUAGCGGUAGUUAUUAUGAGUUGAAUUCUGGGAACCUGGAGUGGCUUUCUCGUCUUUCUUCUUUAAGACUCCUUGACCUGAGUUUUGUCGACCUUAGUGAAGCCGACCAUCCACUGGUCACAAGCAAUUAAUAAACUCCCUUCUCUCAUUCACUUGGAUACAAAAUUGUGGUCUCCCUCCCAUCCCUCCACUCACCAUUCCAUCUCUUUCCCAUGUGAAUUCCUCUGUCCCUCUUGUUUUCGUUGAUCUCUCUUCGAAUCAUCUCACUUCUUCAAUAUACCCAUGGCUGCUCAACUUUAGUACCACCCUCCUUCAUCUUGAUCUCUCUUUCAAUGAUUUAAACUGUUCGAUUCCGGAAUAUGCUUUUGGGAACAUGAGUUCCCUUGAAUAUCUUGAUCUCCACAAGAGUGAACUUGAUGAUGAAAUUCCGGAUACAAUUAGAGACAUGGGUUCUCUUGCAUAUCUUGAUCUCUCUGGCAAUCAACUGUGGGGCUCAAUUCCAGAUACAGUUGGGAAGAUGGUUUUACUUUCACAUCUUGAUCUCUCUUACAAUCAACUACAGGGCUCAAUUCCAGACACAGUUGGGAAGAUGGUUUUACUUUCACAUCUUGAUCUCUCUCGCAAUCAACUACAGGGCUCCAUUCCAGAUGCAGUUGGAAACAUGGUUUCUCUUGAAAAACUCUAUCUCUCUCAAAAUCAUCUUCAAGGUGAGAUUCCAAAAUCCUUGAGUAAUUUAUGGAACUUACAAGCAUUUGGAUAUGUUUCAACCAAUUAUUAAUAAUCAAAUCAUAAUUUCAACAUUAAAGAAAAAAGAAAUUUUAAUCGCAAGUUAUUAAUGAUCUGUUUCUCUCUUUCUAAAAAAACUAAAUUACUCUAAUAAAUGGGAAACUCUUUCUUUCUUGUUGUCAAAGUUUUUCACUUGGAGUUGUCUCACAUGCAGAUAAUUUUUGUGGAAUAUUUUGUUUUCAUCCAUUUUUUGCUUAUCUCAAGUUAACUUCAUUUUCUUCUUAGUGGUUGAUUUUAUAGGAUAUUAAGUCUAACUUCUUUUCUUAAUAAAAAGCUUUUUCUAAGCAAUUAAAAAAAAACUAUUGUUAUUUUCUCUAUUUUAACAUAAUCCAACUAUAGGAUAACUAAAAUAUGAUUGAAAAAUAUAAAAUAAGAGAGAAUAAUUAUAUUUUAAUUAUACUCGAUAAGUAAUAUCAAAUAUUUGAUUCACUUAUUAGAAAGUAGUAUUGAUCUCCAACAUCAUGAGAUUAACAUCCCAAUGAUUUUUUUUUUAUUUGUUAAAAAUUCUUAUCUUUCAAUACAUUACAAAAUUCCUUAAACACUUUAGCCCAAUGAUCUCAUGUUGUUUUGUUUUAGUUUUUUUUUCCUUCAUUUCCAGUCUUUUUUAAGGUCCUCCAUAGCUUGGAUUACACUUUGUGAGAAUUUACUCAAAAAGUCAUUAAGAAUCAAGUCCUAUCAAGUUUUUAAAAUCGUAAAAAUGAAAACUUUUAUAUUACCAUUCUUUUAUAAGUUUUUGUAUUUAUUAAUUUUUAUUUAUUUCUUUAUGAUAAAAUCUUUUAUCUAAAAUAUUUUUCAUGAAACAAUAAUUCUUUACUAUGAUUUUUUAAAUUUAAAAUUAUAAAAGACUUCAAUUCUUAUUAAAAAUAUUAUUUAUAUUAAUAUUUUCUUCUGAGCUCUUUCUAUCAGAACAAGUAGUGACUGUGUAGAUCCCUCAUUUUGGUUCUAGAUGAGACUUAAUUCUUUCUAGUCAUCUUUCGUUCUAUUUUCACCUUUUGAAUGGUGAACUGUAAAAGACAGGUGGCAAAAGAGGAUAUUAUGGUGGCAGACUAUGAGGGUAAGACACGUGGCAAUGAGGUUUUGGUUUUUCUGUUGGCUGUUUUAGAGAGAAUAGUGGAGUGUCUUGGUGGUAGAAAGAGUCGGGGGUUGUUAGAGGGCAGUAGAAAAUGUCCUCUGCAGGGAUGGCACGUAUCAGAGGGAUAUAUUUUCCUUUUGGGGUAUCUUGAGAAAAGGAAAAAGAAAAGGGGGAAGAGGAUUUUAUAGGGAGGUGAUACGCUGGAUCUCGAGAAGAGCUGAGGAAAAGCUGUGAAACAGAGAGAGUGAGUAGGCUGUGAGAGAGCCAUUGUUGAGAGAGUAAGCAGGCUAUUUUUGAGAAAAAAAGGGAUCAGAUUAGGAGCUCACCAGUUUUGUACUAUGCAUGCUUGUGGAAUCUGAGACCAUUUUUUUAUGUACUUUAUAUCUGGUUCUACUUUGGCUCCUUUGGCUCUGUUUAUGAACAACUUGUGCAUUUCACUUUUUAUGAAUAACUUGAAUAUGGAUCCAUCACUAAAUCUGAUUGUUAAAGAUCAUGCCCCAACUUUCUUUUGAUUCCACCCUAGUGUAGCUCAUUGACAAUCCAUGAAAGAGGGCUAAGAUUCAUUGAUGUUUCGUUUAUUUGUUCGUUUAUGCUCUGCCCCUGUUUUCGUUCUUCCCUAUAUUCCUCUAUUUCUGGUGUCUCUGGGUGAGGAUACAAUAACUUUGGUUAGACAGCCUUUGAGAAGUCUACAUAUUCCUGGUAUCUAUCACCAUUUUGUUGGCGUGUUGGAGAAGCAUUGCAUUGGACCAGGAUGAGAUGGUAAGAGACUUCCAGCUUCGGAGCAAUACCUUUGCUUUCUUGCUGAGUACCAAAGCUGGGACUGGAAAUCUGAUCAGUAAAAAGAAUAGUGAGCAUUUCGGGUUGAAUGAGGGUCCUUCGAGAGUCUACGGAUGAUGGCUACUUGAUUUUGGAGUUGGGGAACGAAUUUUCUCACUACCGAUGAUAUGAGUGUCAUACUAGUUGCAAAACUGAAGAGAAGAUUGGGAUGUGAAAUGUGGGCAAAAUUACAUUUGACUGGCAUGCAUGUUGACAUGGGUAUCAAGUUCCACUGGAGAUCAGGUAGAGGCAAUGGCCUUUCUAGGGGGUUUAAGACAUAAAAUGUGCUUUAAUGGCAUGAGAAUUUCUGGGUCCCUUUCAUCUAGUACUGUUUAUUUGUUAAUUUGGAGACCCAUUUUUGGUUUUGUUGAGGGUUCUGAGUUGAAGUUGGCCUGUGUUCAUGUGCAAAGUUUUGUUGGUAGAAUGUUAAAAUCAUUAAGAGUGACAGUUUACGCCGAGCCACAUUGUUCAGAAAGGAGAAGUGGUUUUGAAGGAAUCAAUCCCAUGAAGUAGUUGCCUCCAACAAAGAUUUGAGCAUUUUGAAGUCUGGGGCUCUGAGCAUUGUACACUUGAAGAAUGGCUUCAACAGGGCUCUGAGCAUUCUUGGGUUGCUAAAGUUGCCUCGGUUCAUUCCAGGUGCUAAUCAAAAUGAUAGUUAAAUUAAAGAAUAUAAAUAACAUAAUGAUUUCCAAGCUAAUGAGUGUUGUAUGCUUAUAUCAUGCUCUAUCUAUCAUCUUUUCUCCACCAUAACGGUGUUUUAUUUUAUUGGUUUUUUGCUGGUACUGGCAGAUGUUUGUGGGUGGUGGGAGUAUGCUAGAGCUGAUCACAUGGGGGCAAUUUCUUUUGUUGUUUGUUUCUCUACCAAAUUCAAAGUGUUAAGCACACAAGGGUAACAUGGAGAUGUUUAUAUCCUCUGUAGUCUGUUAUGUAAAAGAGUCUGAACAGAGCAUAUGAUUGAGAUGCGGCUUCGCCAACAAAAUUAGUAUGGUGUUUUAUUUCUUUUCACAGAGCACCCACCUGCCCAUUCCCUGAUCGUGAGUGUUAUUCCUCUUCCUCGGGAUGUCUCGUAAAGGCCCUUCAGUCUAUGGCGUUGAAGACGGCAUUCUCAGUUUGGAGAGACUCCCAAUUUGCUGAUUGUAGUUAAGAGUUUCACUACAUAUAUAGUUCUAUCAUUCAACAUACUUAUUCCGGAGUUAGGAAUGUAAGGGAUAAGAGCUUAUUUCAGACUAUUUAUUCAUGUUCUGUUUAAGAUUUUUAAAAGAAAAACGAAUGUGUGGCAAGUGAACCGCUUGAAUAUCUCCCUCAACACAAAUCAGGGAGUUCGACAUUCCUCAAAACAAGUACAUUAUCUCAGUUUGCAGUAAACAAGGAAUUUACCGUCCAUAGACAAAUAAACCAACGGCUGGCAUGUGCCUCUUCAAGUAGUCUAGGCUCUGCAUUGAACCAUUCCACACUUAGAACUUUUGAGAAAUCAAUAGUUGAGCGACAUUCAAAUGACUUUAAAGCACUCGAGCUUAUUCUUAUCAUGAAAAAGAUGAAACAAAGAGAAAUUUAGUUUGCUCUCAACUGCAAUCCAUAUCUUCUGGAAAGGAUGAAAUUCAUUAUGGGCAUCUCGAAAGCAUAUUUCAAGGCUGAGAAAUUCACGAGUCAAUUAGGAAACACAGGGCAUGUCAAGAUGCUACAGCCAUUUGCGUUUUCUUGCUUUAACAUGGGAACAAACAGAAAAUGAUGUAACAGUUCAAGAUGAAUCAGAAAAGAUAGUCUUGAAAGCAUCAAGUUUUCCCAAAAGGGGGGGGGGGGCGAGUUCAGACCAUGAAGUGUAGGAGAAAUUGGUUGGAUGCAUAUCUAACAAGAAGACAUGUUUCUAAGGCAUAUAACCAAUUUUCCAGAUUCUGAUUUUCAUGAUUUUGAUAUCGACGAAACUGAGAGUUCCUUUGGGGAUGACCAAUUUUAGUCUGCAUAUGAUAACAAAUGAUGAGAGAAGCCUCCUCAAUGUAAGCAGCUCAGGGCCUUCUAAGGCAUUUCCCUACGUAUAUUCCAGCAGAUAAGGACGAAAUUAAUAUUAGGACUUAUGUCUAUGGAGAUGUGGAGCUAGUCGAAAUUGCAAUUCAGCUUUCAAAACGUUAUUCUAAUAGGAUGCUUCCAAAGAUCCAUGAAGCUGGAAAUUUGAGACAACAACUCUUUUGCUGUUAACAUUUGGAACCAAAUCGUAACAGAUAUUGGUAUUGCAAUAACCAAGGAGCACAUUGACCAUCUUGGAAUCAUAACUCGAGAUGGUGCUCCAUGAUUCUUAAAGGCUUUUGAGGAAAUUAAAGGUUUCGAGGUUGAUGGUGUACUGAUUGGUCAACUUGUUGGCAUAUUUCCUACAUUUCAGGUACAGCGAAGGUGGCAGUGCCAAUGAAGGGCUCAUGAUCUGAUGAGCAAUAUAUCUGAAAGGCAUCAGGAUCUUCACCCCAUUCUGCAAGUGAUACAUGCACGAGCAACAGGCUUGAGAUCAUUAUUGAUCCUUAUCCGAAAAGAUGCUAGUUAGGGAGCAGUUCUGGAAGGAAAAGAAUUCCUACAAGCUCCACAAAAUGAGAACCUUAUUCUCAUGAUGACAAAACAACAGUAAAAAAAAAAAGUUUGACUAGGAAUUCAUAAUGAACAGGGGAACACAAAAGUUGAGUUACAAUGUUAAGGCGAAUGAGUGGCAGCACAAGCAGUUUGAUCCAAAAUCAAACUUUACUGCUGCACCACAAGCUGUUGUUGUUGAUGAACAAGGAUUAAAAUAUCGAAAAUUAGGGGCAACAGACCAUAUGACAGGUUGUGCAAGUCUUUUUUCUACUUAUACUCCAGGUUCUGGACACAUUAAAGUCAAAAUUGCAUAUGGAUCUCUCGCUACUGUUGCAGGGGCUGGUACUAUAAUUUUAGGGCCUCAUAUAACCUUUUUCAAUGUUCUCCAUGUCCCAAAAUUAUCAUGUAAUUUGUUGUCUAAGGAAGAGCAUUGGCAGUGCUAAGGAAUAUGGAGGGCUCCACAACUUCAAGGAAAUACCAAGGAUGGACAAGUUCUAUCAGUUGGUUGUGAAUCUUCCUAGACGACUAAGCAACAAGAAAUAGUGUUGUGGCACUUUAGGUUAGGUCAUCUUAAUUUUCAAUAUUUGAAGCAUUUGUUUCCUUCUUUUUUCAAUAAUAAAGAUGUUUUUUAGUGUGAUAUUUAUCAAUUUGCUAAACAUCAACGGUCCAAUUAUCCUUCUCAACCCUAUAAAGCAUCCAAACCUUAUGUAAUGAUACACACUGCAUAUGGGGUCCCUCACGUCUACAAAGUCUAAUUGGGAAAAGGUGGUUUAUCAUUUUUAUUGAUGAUCACACGAACUACAUGGCUAUGUCCUUGAAAGAAAAAAAUGAGGCAAAACCAACAUUCAAAAUUUUUUAUCAAAUGAUUCAAAACCAAUCUAAUGUUAAAAUCCAAGUCUUAUAAACGAAUAACAAGAAAGAGUAUUUUAACACCAUUUUGAGGAAUUAUUUGUUAGAAAAAAGGAUUAUGUAUCAAAGUUCGUGUAUAGAUACACCUCGACAAAAUGGAGUGGUCAAGUGAAAGAAUAGACAUUAUUGGAAGUAGCCCGAUCCAUUAUGCUUACCAUAAAUGUAUCAAAACAAUUUUGGGGAGAUUCCAUUCUUACAACUUAUUAAGAUAAUAAAUAAUAUGUCUACCUGAGUUUUCAAUUACCAAACACCAUUAAAAUCAUUCCUUCAAUUAUAUGCACAAACUCAGUCCAUUAACCAACUUUCCCUUAAGGUUUUCGGUUGUAGAGCCUUUGUUCAUGUUCUUGACCAAAAUCAAACCAAACUAGAUCCUACAGCAUUAGCUAUAUCUUCCUUGGUUAUUCAGCCACACAAAAGGGGUAUCGUCAUUGCUCUCCUAAAAAACAAAAAUAUUGUCACUUGGAUGUUACAUUUUUUUUAGAACCAACCUUUUUCUCCAAAAAUUCACUUCAGGGGCAGAAUAUAGAUAAAGAGAAUUUUUGGGAAUUAUCAUUGCUAAGCCUACUACUAGAACAACCACCAAACCUGUUGCCUAACCCGACUAUAUCACCAAAACAACUAUUAAACUAGCCUUCUUACCCACCUGAACAGCCAGGUCACCUCUUUAACCAACUAGUGUUUGAAACUAACAAACCAAAAACAACCGAACCCAACUAGACUUGGGGUGUCAAUGAUAAGUCCCAAACUCAGUCUUUGCGAAGAUACUUUGUUUUCUCUUCGGGUGAGAAACGAACCACAAUUUGAUUGCAAAGAAAAAUACCUCCUAUUAACGAAAGCAUUGGCUGCUUUAAAUAAGCAAAGCCACGUACAAACGAACCGAAAUAAAAAGGAAACUAACAGCUAACAAAUGGAACCCAAUACACUUAAAACAGAGCAUAACAAACGGAAAUAAAAUGACUAUUCAAGCAAAGACUGGUUAGUCUCCCAUGUGGCGUCCUCGACUGGUAGAUGCUUCCACUGGAUAAGAUUUUCUUCUUCAAAUUUAUUCCCCCGUUUGACCUAGCGAGUGUCCAGUAUAUGCUGAGGUUCGAGUAUAACAGCCCCUUCAUCAUUAACUGGCGGCAGCUCUUGUGAAGGUUUUGCAAGUUCUCCCACGAAAUUUUUUAAGAGUGACACGUGGAAGACAGGAUGAAUGUGGGCUCCUUCCGGCAGUUGAAGUUUAUAUGCGACGACCCCAAUCUUUUGUAUCAUUGGAUAUGGUCUGUAGAAGCGACUAGCUAGCUUCUGGUGGGCUCGUUUGAAGGCUGUCUGUUGUCUGUAGGGGUGCAAUUUAAGAAACACUAGAUCACCAACUUCGAAGAAAACAUCCCGACGUUUUUGAUCCGCAAUCUACUUCAUGCGAUUAAUGGAAGUCUCUAGAUUAAUUUUGAGUUGACGCAACAGUUCAUCUCUAGCCUCUAGACUUUGGUCGACUUCAUGCACCGAAGACAUCCCAUUAUGGUAAAUGGGAAUUUGAGGAGGUAAUAUAGUGCCUGAAAAGGGGUCAUUCCUGUGGACGCAUGAUACGUUGUAUUGUACGAGAGCUCAGCCCAUGGAAGGUAGUUGCUCCACUUGCGUGGCCAUUGAUGAACCAUACUCCGGAGGCAUUGCUUAACACAACGAUUGACAACUUCUGUUUGUCCGUCCGUCUGUGGGUGGUAGGCGGAGCUAAGUUGUAGCUUGGUUCCCAACAUUUGAAAGAACUCCUGCCAGAAUUUGCUGAUAAAGAUGGGGUCCCGGUCGCUGAUGAUAGACUUGGGUAGUCCAUGCAAUUUAAUAACUCCUUCUACAAACCUUUCAGCCACGAUUUUAGCAGUAAAAGAAUGAGUUAAGGCUAGAAAAUGUGCAGACUUACUCAAACGGUCGACAACUACUAAGAUUGUGUCCUUCCCGUGGAUGUCGGUAGUCCUUCAAUGAAGUCUAAGGUGAUGUCGUCCCACACUUGACAUGGAAUGGGUAACGGCUGCAGGAGCCCAGUUGGAGGCAUUGUUUCAGACUUAACCUUCUGGCAAGUUUCACAUUUCUUGAUAUACUAUUGCACCGUCUGGUACAUUUUUGGCCAGUAGAAUUGUUGGGCCAAUUUCUUGAAUGUCCGCAAGACCCCAGAAUUCCUCCUAUUUUUGUAUCGUGCAUUUCAUGGAGUAGUUUCGUCUGUAAGGCAGCAUGAGAAGGAAUGAUGACUCUCCCUUUAAAGAAGAGCAGCCCAUUACGCCAUGCAUACGGCCCUUCUAGUUGAGCAUUAGCCAGUCGAGUUAGAGAUUGGACGUAAGAGUCUCCUUCAUAAGCUUUUUUAAUCUCAUCCCAUAUGGUCACCAUUGGCACAUGAAGAUGGAGAAGAAUUGGACUACUAGACUUGCGUGAGACGGCAUCCGCUACUAAAUUCUCGUGGCCUAGGCGGUAAAUAAUCUCAUAGUCAUAGCCCAUUAGCUUGACUACCCAUUUUUGCUGUUCUGGCGUAGAUACAUGCUGCUCCAAGAAAUAUUUCAAGCUACGCUGGUCGGUGAGAAUGAAGAAUUUUUUUCCCAGUAGAUAAGGACGCCAUAGGCGUAUGGCCUCCACAAUUGCAAGCAUUUCCUUGGCGUAGGUUGACCAAGAUUUUUUUGUAACCCCCAAUGCUCGACUCAUAAAUGCUAUAGGCCUGCCUUGCUAUGAUAAAACUGCACCAAUCCCCUCCCCAGAUGCAUCAGUUUCAAUGGUGAAGGAGUCAUUGAAAUUAGGCAUAGCUAAUGUUGGAGUGGUUGUCAUUGCUUGUUUGAGAGCUAGAAAGGCUGCUUCGGCUUCAUCAUUCCAGCCAAAUUUUCCCUUUUUGAGCAAGUGGGUUAGGGGUCACGCUAUGAUGCCGUAGUUUUGAACAAACUUUCUGUAAUACCCUGUUAAGCCUAAAAAACCACGUAACUCAGAAAUAUUAGUGGGGUGUGGCCAUGCGACCAUGGUUGCAAUUUUAUUGUUAUCAACCUUCACUCCUUGAUGUGUGACAAUGUGCCCCAAGUACUCCAGUUCCUGUUGGCCAAACACGCAUUUGCCUGCCUUGGCAAAAAAUUGGUGUUGUCACAAGGUCUCCAAUGUUUGUUUAACAUGCACCAUAUGCUCAUCCUAAGUGGGACUAUACACCAAAAUAUCAUAAAAAAAGACCAAAAUGAAUUUUCGAAGGUAAGGUCGAAAUAUUAAGUUCAUGAUGGCCUGAAAUGUCGAGGGUGCGUUACAAAGGCCAAAAGGCAUUACGAGAUAUUCGUAAUGGCCAUUAUGAGUACGGAAAGCAGUUUUAAUAACAUCGGAAGGAUUUACUCUUACUUGAUGAUAGCCGGCCCUCAGAUCAAAUUUGGUGAAGUAAGUGGCGCCAUAUAAUUCUUCCAACAUAUCAUCCACUGUUGGAAUGGGAAAACGAUCCUUGAUGGUGGCAACGCUAAGUGUACGGUAGUUUGUACAAAAUCGCCAACUGCCAUUUUUUUUCUUCACUAGUAGUACCAGCGACGAGAAAGGACUGGUGCUCGGACGAAUGAGCCCCGAAUCUAACAUUUCUUGGACCUGUUUCUCGAUUUCUGCUUUCUGAAAGUGGGCAUACCUAUACGGCCGGACGUUAAUUGGCUCGGUUCCCUCCUUUAGCGUAAUACAAUGAUCCACUUCAUGUGCAGGUGGUAAACUUGAGGGCUCUUGGAACACGUCCUCAUACUCUUUCAACAACCUCUGCAUACUUUGCUGGGUAACUUUAGUUGGUGCAUCAGCUGGUGCGGUUUCCAUGGUUGGUUGGAAACACACAGCAAAUAGCGCAUGUCCUUGGCGAAACUCCUUCAAUAUUUCUUCUGGUGAAGCGGCCUGAAUGGUUUGCACGUCCACUCCUUGCAGCCUUCGGUCUUGAUUUUCCCAAAUAAAAUCCAUGGUCAACUGUUUCCAGUUACAAACCACAGAUCCCAGCAUUUCAAGCCAUUGAACGCCGAGGAUAAGAUCAAGACCUGAUAAGGGCAGAGAGAAAAGGGUGAGGUAGAAUUUAGUACCUUGUAAUUCUACCCGUACCUUAUCGUAACACCCCUGACACGUUAGUCUUUCUUCGUUGGCCACCUGGACAGGGAAUGUCUCUGUAGGUAUGACUGGCAACCUAAGCAUGUUUGCCAAACGGUUGCUGAUGAAGUUGUGUGUCGAUCCAUAACCCACAGGUCCCAUGUUUCUUAUGGGAACCAACAAGGAGCGAAUUGAGCACUUGGAGACUAGACUCGGUGUAGUUCAGGAAGAACUACAGCGAAUGGAGUUGGGUAUGAUCGACAAACUCCACCAUCCGGAGGAAGCUCUCAAUCGACUUUCGAACGUGUUGCUCGCUAAUCUGGAGUCCUUAAAUCAGGCAAUUACCACCAAGAAAACCAAAAUGGAGGUCGGUAGAUCGUCUCGUCCAAAUCAGCCAAGCUAGAAUUUCCACGCUUCUCUGGAAACGAUCCAAUGAAGUGGUUCAAUCGGGUGGAACAAUUCUUUGACUACCAGGGCACUGCAGAAAACCAAAAGGUUCCUAUGGCUGCUUACCACCUUGAAGGGGAGGCCAACCAAUGGUGGCAAUGGCUUCGCAGGAUGUUAAAGGAAGGACACGUGAUUUCGUGGGGGAAAUUUGAAGAGGAAUUAUGGGCUCGCUUCGGACCAUCAGGAUGCGAAGACUUUGAUGAAGCUCUCUUAAGGAUCAAGCAACUGGGAACUUUGAGGGACUAAUAGCGCGAGUUUGAAAAGCUUGGCAAUAGGGUCCAAGAAUGAACUCAGAAAGCAUUGGUGGGGACAUUCAUGGGUGGCUUGAAGGCUGAAAUAGCGGAUGGGAUUUGGAUGUUUAAGCCACAGUCGCUCAAAGAGGUCAUUAACUUGGCACGGAUGAGGGACGAUCAACUCGCAUGGCAAAGAAGGUUCAUGCGGUUACCACCUGUGAGAGCUCCGAUAGCUCUUCCACAAGCCACUCGUGUAGCUCUUGCUACACCUGCAAAACCCAUUAAGCUUUUGUCUUGGGAAGAAAUGCAGAGGAAGAGAGCACAAGGUCUUUGUUUCAACUGCAAUGAACGUUUUACAGCAAGCCAUAGAUGUCAAAAACCACAACUCUUACUCUUGGAGGGGCAUGCAGGUAACGUGUAUUGUGGGGACGGUACUGAUCAACAAACGUUGGAAGAUGACCAUGGUGGAGAGGCAGCAGAGGUGCAGGAACAUGAACGUAAACCAGAGAUCACCUUGCACACACUAACAGGAUGGACAACACUGAAAACCAUGCGGGUAACAGCGAAAAUGGGUCGCCAUGAAGUAAUGGUUUUGAUUGACAAUGGAUCGACACACAACUUCAUCAGCAACCGUUUGGCAAACAUGCUCAGGUUGCCAGUCAUACCUACGGAGACAUUCCCUGUCCGGGUGGCCAACGGAGAAAGACUAAGGUGUCAGGGGCGUUACGAUAAGGUACGGGUAGAAUUACAAGGUACCGAAUUCUACCUUACCCUUUUCUCUCUGCCCUUAUCAGGUCUUGAUCUUGUCCUCGGCGUUCAAUGGCUUGAAAUGCUGGGAUCUGUGGUUUGUAACUGGAAACAGUUGACCAUGGAUUUUAUUUGGGAUUUGGUUUAUGGCCCUUCUCAGAUCGUCGUGGCCUAUCAAAGUUCCCAGUUGCUUGAUCCUUGAGAGAGCUUCAUCAAAGUCUUCGCAUCUUGAUGGUCCGAAGAGAGCCCAUAAUUCCUCUUCGAAUUUCCCCCACGAAAUCACAUGUCUUUCUUCCUUUAACGUCUUGUAAAGCCACUGCCACCAUUGGUUGGCCUCCCCUUCAAGGUGGUAAGCAGCCAUGGGAACCUUUUGGUUUUCUGCAGUGCCCUGGUAGUCAAAGAAUUGUUCCACCCGAUUGAACCCCUCUGUUGGAUCGUCUCCAGAGAGGCGUGGAAAUUCUAGCUUGGCUGAUUUGGACGAGACGAUCUGCCGACUUCCAUUUUGGUUUUCUUGGUGGUAAUUGCCCUGAUUUGAGGACUCCGGAUUAGCGAGCAACACGUUCAAAAGUCGAUUGAGAGCUUCCUCCAGAUGGUGGAGUUUGUCGAUCAUACCCAACUCCAUUCGUUGUAGUUCUUCUUGAACUACACCGAGUCCAGUCUCCAAGUGCUCAAUUCGCUCAUUGUUGGUUCCCAUAAGAAACCUGGCUCUGAUACCAAUGAUAGGUCCCAAACUCAGUCUUUGCUAAGAUACUUUGUUUUCUCUUUGGGUGAGAAACGAACCACAAUUUGAUUGCAAAGAAAAAUACCUCCUAUUAACGAAAGCAUUGGCUGCUUUCAAUAAGCAAAGCCACGUACAAAUGAACUGAAAUAAAAGGGAAACUAAUAGCUAACAAAUGGAACCCAAUACGCUUAAAACAGAGCAUAACAAACGGAAAUAAAAUGACAGAAAACUCUCAACUACAGAUGACCCAUUUCCUUCUGCACGUAGGACUCUCAACUGCCACGACCUAGUCCAAGUCCAACGGUCCUUCACGUUCCAACUCAUCCCAAAUAUUUGGGAUUUGGUUUAUGGCCCCUCUCAGAUCGUCGUGGCUUAUCAGUCAACAACAAAAACAGAUUCAAGGCCAGGAGAGAUUCACUACAAUAACCAAAACUUCAUGUCUAUUCAAGGAGGAGUAACUCAAGAAUAGUAGAAACCAAAAUGGAUCAAUAGUGCUGUCAAGAAUAAGAACAAACUGUCCUUCCUGAGGUAAGUGACCUUAAUUUGCCUAUAGCCAUGAGAAAAGGUGUUUGACCAUGUACUCAACACCCUCUCACCUCAAUUUCAAGCUUUUAUUUCCAAACUUUUAGGAGAAGAAGUUCUGGAACAUAUUUAUAAGGCUCUACAAGAUCCUCGAUGGAGAGAAGCUUUUAUGGAGGAAAUGAAAGCUUUGGAAAAAAACCGAACUUAGGAUUUAGCGGACAAGCCCAGAAGAAAUAUAUUUGUUGGAUGCAAAUGGUGUUUGCUAUUAAAUAAAAGUCAGAUGGGUUCAUUGAAAAGUACAAGGCAAGGUUGGUAACUAAGGGAUUUGCACAAACUUAUGGUAUUGACUAUCAAGAAACAUUUACCCUAAUUGCCAAACUUAACAUCAUAACAGUUCUUUUAUCCCUUGCUGCAAAUCUGGAUUGGUGAAUUCAAUAACUAUAUAUCAAAAAUGUUUUUAUGAAUGGAGACCUAGAAGAAGUGUACAUGGAAUUGUCUCCUAGAUUCGAUCAAAGAAGGAAGGUAAGGAAAGUCUACAAGAUUAGAAAAUAUCUCUAUGGGUUGAAACAGUCUUUUUAUGCAUGGUUCAAGAGAUUUACCAAUGCCAUCAUGAGGCAUGGAUAUACAUAGGAUCAAUCUAAUCAUACCUUAUUUUAUCAUCACAAUGAUGGUAAGGUCACUAUUCUCAUGGUCUAUGUGGAUGAUAUCAUAGUGAUUGGGAAAUGAUUUAAUGGAGAAUGAACAAUUAAAAGGGAAGCUAGUUGCUUAGUUUGAAACCAAAGAUCUAAGACCUCUACGUUACUUUCUAGGGAUGGAAAUGGCAAGGAAAAAGAGUGAAAUAUCAGUUUCCUAAAGAAAAUAUAUUCUAGAUCUCUUGAAGGAAACCGAGAUGCUAGGAUGUAAACCUUUGGAUGCUACAAUGGAUUCGGUAAAGGAGAUUGAAGGAUAAAAAGAAAGCACACCUGUCAACACUGAAAGAUAUCAAUGUCUAGUAGGGAUGCUAAUUUAUCUUUCCCACACUAGACUAGACAUCGCUUUUGCAAUAAGAAUUGUGAAUCAAUACAUGCAUGCUCUUUACAAAGGACAUAUGGAAUCCAUGUAUAGAAUUCUAAAGUAUCUCAAAGGAUCUAUAGGGAAAGGAUUAUUCUUUAGAAAAAAAUGAAACAAGAAGCAUUGAAGGGUUCACGGAUGCUAACUAGGCAAGUACCAUAGAAGAUCAAAGAUCAACUUCAGGCUAUUGCACCUUGGGGCAAGUACAAUAUAUUAACCCAUUCCACAUCAGAACUCAUAAGCCAAAGUCCAAGCUUGGUUCAAAAACUUAGGCCUUGAGAUUGAGUGUUGCAACAUCUUGGACAUGGGCAUCUAUCCCCACUUGGAAAUUAUUGCUCACCAUAUUUGUGUUAUAAAAGUCUAUAAUGGUUUUGGAAAUUCUAUCCUUAUUCUCCAUUUUUUUAUUAGCAAAUAAAAUAAAAAUUAUAUUUACAUUCAAGCAAGGAUUUACUAAUGUCAGUAAAUAUACAUAUCGAUUUGAUAGGUUGGUGGGUCAUUGAAUCAAGUUAAGUCAGAUCAGAUUUAGCUAGCCAACAAGUUAUAAUCACAUUUUACAUCAAUUUAAUUAGGAAUUUCCUUUCAAAAUAAAAUCACAUUAAAUCAGCUUACUACCUCUUGUAGUUGAUAUACAUUUAACAAGGAAUUGAUUGUCAAAUUUAUAAAAGUCAUAUUUUAAUAGGCUAAUAUUUGGAAUUAUAAUAGUUUCAUUAAACAUGACAACUUUUAAUUUAAGAGAAAAAUGCCUCCAUUAGAGAUUAAAGAGGAGCUUUUAGUUUCAAAAAAGAAAAUCCAAAAUAGCAUUUGUCUCUCCUUAGUCUUAUGGAAAAUUUUAUUUCAUAGGAGGAAAAGAACUUCUAUGUUUCAAAAUUUGGAAAAAAUAAAAAAUAAAAAGUUACGAUUUAUAAGUUAGUAGAGUAUUUUGAAAUUUUAACUUUUCUAACAUAGUAUUUUAGCUGAGUAAUUCCCAAUACUUUUAUUUUCAAAUUAUUUCUUAUCACUCAAUCACAAAGUCCACAAACUUCAUUUCCUACAAAUGAAAUGAAAAUCAAAAUUAGCAAAAAAAAAAAAAAAAAAAAAAACCAGUAUAUUGGUGUCAUAAAAUAAUAUGUGGAUAUAAUCUUGCUUUAUUUUUGACAAAAUAAUAACUUGAAUAUUUGAUUUGGUUGUUUUGAUGUAGAUCCAAGAAGUGAAGCAUUGUGGACUUGCAUUUUUUCACGUGCGCCCCCACUCAAUCGGUGAGACUCACUUUUAUUUGUGAAAAAUUAUUUUUGAAAAAGUCAGAGUAACCAAUUUGUGGACCUACAUUUUUCACGUGCGCUCCCACUCGAUCGACAAGACUCGCUUUUAUUUUUGAAAAAUUAUUUUUGGAAAAGUCGGAGUCGUCACUUAUUUUAUUUUAUUUUAAAGGGAAAAUAAAAUAAGAAAUAAAACCCUAAAAAAAUGACUCCACAUUUUUGGAAAAGCAUGUCUCGAAAAAUCUAAGUCUAGGUCCGGGGAUCAGGUUAUCUAUUAGGAAGGUACCUCUAAAAGGUAGCAUCUCUCUAAGCCUUACAAAGGUCUCUACUGACUAAUUUAAGGGAAAUGUGGCAAUUAAUUGAUUAAUUGAGGAUACCUAGGUAGGCUAAGGUGAUUUCAAAAAAAUAGCAUGCCAAACAAGAUCAAAUCAUAAUAAAUGAGAGUUAGGAUGCGUACCUGAACCGCUUCUCAAGCGCUAUCAUAAAACAUCAAAGUCAAUAUAGAAAUAUAACACACGACAUGUAUUUAAUCAUAGCAAAUCAAGCAUACAUCCAAGAACCUAAGGAUCAUAUCAAACAUAAAUAAGGCUCAUAACAACAUGCAUGUUCAUGAAAUUCUGAAAAGUAAAGAUAGAGAGCGCACCUAGAUAACAUGCAUAAUUUAUAAGAUUCCUCCAAAAAUGUAAUAAUGGUUAGGACAAGUAUAAAUUAUAUAAUAUCUCUAUUAUAUCUAAUAUAUAGUACCAAAUCCAAAAGUGAACCAAGGUAAGUCAAAUGACUCCAAAAGCAGAUAACAAAUUCCAACAAGUACUGAGUCAUCAACAUGCAUAUAGUAAAGGGAGCAUCACAAAAAAAUUGCUAAAAAAAAUGUCUUGGAGUGGAAUUUAAUCACAAAAAAUUUCCAUAAGCAACUCCUACAUAUCUAGAACAAGAUACCAAAAUCAAAACACUCAUUCGAAUGACAAAUUGCAACAAAGACACCCAAAAAUUCCAAAAGGUCCAAAUUAGGUAAAAAGAAAAUAAUGACAUGCAUAAACGAAUUUUUUAAAGAAUUAUAAGACAUCACAUAAAUUCUUACAAAAAAUCACAUACAUCAUUCAAGGUGUUUAUAUCACAAAGAAAAUAAAUCCAGGGUUGGGUGGUACUAAAAAAUAUUUUAAAAACACUCAAGCUAAUCAAAUGUCCAUAUUCCAUCAUGCACAGUAGGUACAAAUUUGAAAAGUCAUAUCUCCCUCAACGAGGCAUGUGUUUUAAUAUUUUAUGUGUCUAAGAUCAAUUUCAAGAAGCCUAGAAUUGAGAAAAAAAUAUUGAAUCAAAUUUAAAAAAUCGCCUGGUAUUUUAUUUUUUCAAAAAGUUCUCGAGUGUCCAGAACUGGGUGAAAACAAAGCCCCCCUAAAGACUCAUUCAUAUUUUCUAUUCCAGAAUGACUUUCUAACUCAAAUGAAAGUUUAAAUUCAAGUUCAAGAAGUGAGGAAAGUCAUGCAAGUUUUGGAAAACUUUUAAAAACAUUCUAAAGUUUCUAAAAUGAAUUUUAAAUCUAAAGGGUCAGUGGCUAUAAGUGAAAAUUUGUAGCAAGGAAGAGUUUUGAAAAAUUUUCUUAUGUAGGGGUUUCACCAAUUCCCUAAUUGAUAUAUACAAAUCCAACCUAAAAUCAUCCCAUUUGUUUGGGACCACAAGCUUGAAUUCAUAUUCCGUUCAAAACCAGGAUAUUUUUUUGAAAACUGAGAAAGAUGCAAAAUGAUCAAAACAUGGUUGCAUAUUUUUAAAGAAAAUGGGAUUUUGAUUCUGAAGACUGUAUAUUUUUUGCACAAAAUUUUCAAAGGUAUCUUUUGAGAAAAGCAUUUGACUUUAAAGUAAAGGGAAUUAGUAUGAAAACAACAAAACAUAAGAAAUGAAAUACCGAGCAAAACAGAAGAAAACGAAUUCACAAAGUGAAAUUUUUUACAAUCUGAGUAAACCAAAGUGGUGAGAAUGGAGGCCAAUCUUCACUUUUUUUUUUAUGACCUAUGAAAAUAAAAUUAAAGAUAAAAUUAUUAUAGCAACCUACCAGAGAUGUUUAGAUCAAGUAAACUAACAUUUUAACAAAUCCAACUUUUAAUUUGGCACCAAAAAUUACAUGCUAACGUUUUAAAAAAUCUAACUUUCAUUCUAUUACUAAGGAGUAUGGAAAACAAGUGUCUAAAGAAAUUCUAUCUUUUAAAUGAUCACCAAGAAUAAAAAAAAAAAAAAAAAGACUUCAAGAAAAUCUUAAACUAGCAUAGAUAAUCAAGAACUAAUUGUUGGAAUUUUAAAUGCAUCUAAACUUAAGAUAAAUCAAUCAAGCGCUUAGAAAUGAGUUUUAAAAUGAAACUAAUAAUACGGGAUAUUCACAAUUAUCAACUUAGUUCCAAAGAAAUAGUAAACGUCAUCGGGAUCACUAAAACAACAUCUAAUAAUCUAAAGAACAACAUAUAAUGGCAUAAAUCAUCAAAAAACAGUAACUUAUUGCUUAGAAUCGAAUGUAAAUUAACAUGGGUUUUUAAAAUUAACUACUAAGGAUUCAGGGAAUAAACGAAACAUCAUGGAUCAAUAUAGAAAAGAAUUCAUAAGUAUGCACUAAGGGGAUCAAAAGAUUUCAUGAGUGUUGAUUUAAAAAAAAAACAGUUGAUUCCUAAUUCAAUAGUUCUAAUGAAUUUUAUUUAUAAAAGAAAGUUUUGAUUAGUUUAAAUAAUAAAAUGCUUUAAUUUCAUUUAAGGAAAAUACUUUUAAAAAGUUUAUUUACACGAAAAUAAAUGUUAUUACUUUUGUAAAAGAAAUAUUUCAUGAGUAUUAAAAAAAUAAUUGAUUUCCUAUUCGAUAGUUUUAAUGAAUUUUAUUUAUAAAAGGAAGUUUUGAUUAAUUUAAAUAAAAAAGGCUUUAAUUUUAUUUAAGGAAAAUAUUUUUAAAAAGUUUAUUUACACGAAAAUAAAUGUUAUUACAUUUGUAAAAGAAAUAUUUCAUGAGUAUUAAAAAAAUAAUUGAUUUCCUAUUCGAUAGUUUUAAUGAAUUUUAUUUAUAAAAGGAAGUUUUGAUUAAUUUAAAUAAAAAAAGGCUUUAAUUUCAUUUAAGGAAAAUACUUUUAAAAGUUUAUUUACAAAAAAAUACCAUAAUUCUAUUUUAUUUACAAAGGAAAAAAAAUUCAUAGGAAAGAAAUGAACAAAAAUAAUAAUAAUGAUAAAUUUUAUCUAUAAUUAUAAUAAUAAUAAUAAUAAUAAUAAUAAUAAUAAUAAAACCUCAUAAAAAAAGAAAAGAAAAUUAUCUCACCAUUUUUAAAAAUAUUUUAUAAAUGUGAAAAAAAUAUAUUUUAUAAUUUUAUUUAAAUUGUGUACGAUAUUUAGAAAGAGAUAGGAUUGUAAAGUAUUGGAAUAGGAUUUUUUUUUUUAAAUAGGAAAAUCUUUCGUGGAGGAUGAUUGGCUAUUGUGCGUCACCAUUGUUUUCAUUUUUUUUUUUUUUUUAAUGUAAUUUCCGGGGACUCAUUAGAAUAUGACCACAUAUGGAACCGUACUAGCGGGAAGGCCGACAUCCUCAAGCCUAGGGUGUACUUCCUUCGCCAAGGAGCGAUUUAGAUUAAGCCUUGGCACACGCCAGCCAUGGAAGGAGAUGGUCCAACUCCGGUCACUCUCCAUUCCGACCAACGCUACUGGAGCAUUCCAGAAAAUCCAGAACCCACGCUGCCUACUUUCGAAUAAACUACAUCAUCGUCAUUCUCUUCAUCUUCUUCAUCGCGGUAUCCAUUCAGAUCAAGCCUUGGCACACGCCAUCCAUGGAAGGAGAUGGUCCAACUUCGGUCACUCUCCAUUCCGACUAACGCUGCUGAAGCAUUCCAAAAAAUCCAGAACCCAUACUGCUUUCUUUCGAAUAAACUACAUCAUCGUCAUUCUCUUCAUCCUCUUCGCCACGGUAUCCAUACCCAUCCCCAAGUCCUUCACCAUAUACUCCGCAUAACCACUUGGUCUAACCUCUCCAUCAUCUUCUUCCCGAACAACUCCAUCGCUUUUGAUCCUGCACGCACUAACACUCUAUAUUGCGCCUCCAUCUCCACUACCAACCUGCACCAUUAUUCUUCCACUCAGUCGAAACGGCCCAUUGCACCACCCUCAUAAUCUCAUCUCGACACCACCAUGGAUGGUCAUCACCAUCCUCCAUCGGUCAAAGUCAAUCAUCGUUGUCAUACCUGUUGUGCACCAAUGUUCUCCUUCACCACUCUCAUCUUCACAACUCGCCACUUCCUUUUCCUAUCUUUAUUCUCGUCAACAUCACAAAAUCAUUCAUUUUCACCCUUUAGCCUCGUGCAAAUGCCCACAACAUAUCAUGCUCGCUUCAAUUCCGUCAUAAUCGAUAGCAUAAUUCCCAUCAUAGCCGGCCAUGAUCUCAUUCCAUUCAUUUACUCAUAUAAAUAAGAAAAAAUAAAAAAAUAAAAAAUAAAACAUACGAAGGACAUCAUUCAAAUCAUAGAAGACCAUAUAUUCACAUUCGUUUGCAUUUUGAAUCAAACAAAACAUUGUCGAAGAACACUAACCUUGCCUGAAGAAUGGUGUGGCAUGAUGAAGAUCCUUCCUCUUCUCAAUGGUGCGGUUCCUCUGGAAAAUCUCUUGAUGAUGAGGUUGCCUCUUCUCAAUCGUCCAUCUUCCCUCUUCUAUCCACUUUUUUCACUUUGUGCAGCUGUUCUAAAAAAAGAUCUCUCCAGCACACUUGCCAUCCUUCGCUACUCUUUCCGCUCAUUUUUCUUUCUUUUUUAGUGCUUUUCACAACCAUGGUAAUGGAAGGAACAACAGAAACAAUCCACCUUCCCCCUUUCGGAUCACCUUCCCUUUUAUCGUGUCUCUCUUUCAUUUUCUUUCUUAAUCCAUUCUCCAUCAUCUAGUUAGCUUAUCUGCAGCCACGGUGAUGGAAAAAAAAAUGGCAGAAAAGGUUUCCUUCUCCUCUUUCAAUUACUCUCCAUCCCCUCAAAUUUUCCUUUUUUUUCUUUGCUUUUCCUUUUCUCUCUUCUUCUCUUUCUUAAUUUUUUUCUUUUUAUAGGGCACGUGGGAUCCAUGCAAAACAAAUAAUAAAUAAAUAAAUAAAAAGAGAUAGGAAAAUAAAAAUACCAAUAAAAGAAAAUAAAGAUUAGAAUAAUAAAAAAAAACUUAUAACUAAAAAUUAAAAAUCCAUAAUAUGCAAUUUUAAAGGAAAUUAAAAAUAUAGAUCACAUGCAAAACUAAAAUGAAUUAUCAACUCAAACAACUUUCUAUCAAAACAAAUUAAUAAAUGGAUAAAUAAAAACAAAAUGAAUAUGAUUAUUAAGCUCAUGUAAUUUCCUAAAAGUAAAUAAAUAAAUGAACAAAACUAAUAAAUUGGGAGAGAUAAAAAAACAAAAAACAAAAUCAAGCACCUACAAGCCGUACGAGCCAUCUAUCCAUGCAAAAAAUAAUUUGAAUGUGCCUAAGUCUAAACUAGGGCUACCAAGAGUCACAAUGGAGUUAGAUAAUUCCCUCAACCAAAGUCCCCAAGGUGACUUAGAAAAGAUAGGCUACACGAGUAGUAAUGGGCAGCCAGGGAACUGUUGUAAAAUACUAGACAAAUACCUUAUAAGACAUUUGUUAAGAUGACAAAAUGAAGGGUCUACAAAUAUGCUCCUCUUCGGUAGAGAUCACGAGUAUAGGGAAUGUGAGUAAAAAUACAAAUAAUGAGCGAAACGAAGUAAACUAUACUGAAAACCUAAAAGAAAAGGACCAGAGAUUUUGUCCUAGCACAUGACGAGAGAAAGCUCGGAACACGAGGUCAUAAUCACAAAAAUGGAACAACUUUAGGCUGUGAACGCAAGACUCUAUGUAGAGAGAAAUGACUUUGGGUCGUGAGCUCAAGGCUCUACUAAAUAGAAAAUAAAUGACUUUGGGUCGAGAGCUCUGGGCUCUAAAUGGAAAAGAUAUGACUCUAGGUCAUAAAUGAAAAUAAUGGUGGCUCUAAACGCCUACGAAAAUUAUGGCUUUGAAUGCCUAUGAAAAUGAUGGCUCUAAAUACCUAUGGAAAUGGUGGUGGCUCUGAACGCCUAUGAAAAUGGUGGCUUUAAACACCUAUGAAAAUGGUGAGUUUGAACGCCUAUGAAAAUGGUGGCUCUCAACGCCUUUGAAAAUGGUGGCUCUCAACGCCUAUGAAAAUGAUGGCUCUGAAUGCCUAUGAACAUGAUGGUCGUUCUGAACGCCUCUGAAAAUGGUGGCUCUAAACGCCUAUGAAAAUGGUGGCUCUGAAUGCCUAUGAAAAUGGUGGCUUUGAACACUUAUGAAAAUGGUGGCUCUGAAUGCUUAUGAAAAUGGUGGCUCUGAGCGCCUAUGAAAAUGAUGACUUUGAACGCCUAUGAAAAUGGUGGCUUUGAAGGCCUAUGGAAAUGAUGGCUCUGAACGCCUAUGAAAAUGGGGAUGGCUAUUCAGGCUUAUGAAAAUGAGGGUGGCUCGUUCGCCUAUGAAAAUGGUGGCUCUGAACGCUUAGUUGUGAGAGAAUGAUGAGGGGAAAAAUGCCUCAGUGUGGUGUGUCAUCACAAAUCUCGAUCCACUUAAAGGGUCUAAAAGAGACUCCAUGAGUCUCAAAAGAUGCUCUGUCGAUGAGUCAGAAUGUUCAAAUCAACUAUAAAAUAACGUCUCACAAUCCGUCUGACUAAAUCGAGGCCUGACAAAGUGUCCUAAUAAUCUGGAUAUCUCUAACUCGAGAUACCUUGUUGGAGGAAUCUGUCGUCAUAUCAAAGGAACGACCCACUGGCGGGUCUCAAGAAAAAUGGUCCAUUGGGGUAAUUGUCACUACCUCAACAUAAUGAUCGAUUGAAAAGUCAUAGGUAAUGAGACAGUCAAAACCUAAAGGUCGGGCUCCUUUGAAGACUCAUCUUGGCAUAAAUCAUCGAUAUUGUAACCAAUAAUGCGAAUAAAUAUCCCUCGGCUGAAUAAAGAAAACGGUAAUAGCUCCGUGAGAAGACGAUCAUCUCCACAACAGAAAAGGGGAAUAUGCCCCAGUAUAGCAACUGAUGCAUCUUGCCAUGUGGGUAACCGAGGAAAAUAUGCCCCAGUAUAGCAACUAGUACAUCUGGUCUGUCCUGAUGACUCGAGAAUAACUUAAUGGGGAUGUAUAAGAGAUCUGACAUGUGCUCCACUGAAAUGAUGAUAUGGGAGUCUAUGCACUUGAGACAACUCCAUCAAAGAAUCACGACAAUAUCAGAAAGUAUGAGCUUGGCUGAAUGACUCAAGAAAGACUUCACUAGGGAAUAAUCGUAAAAUAAAAUAAAAUCAUCAACUCGACAUGUAUCUCAUAAAUGAGGAUAAUCAUGCAAAUCAAUGUAGAUUUACAAAUCUCAAUCAAAACGAAAAUAUGCCCUAGUAUGGCACAGAUGUGUGGUAGGUCGAAAAAAAAAAAAAAAGAUGACUCCGAAUCAUCCAUCACCAAGUGUGUAAUCCUAGUCAUCCAUGUCCAUAGGUGAAUCAGAUCCACAUAUCAAAAGGUGUCUCUCAGAAGAAGAAGCAUAAGAACAUCUAAAUAUAAAAAAGUGUGGGCAUGAUUGAAUGGCCUAAAAGAGGCCCCACUAGGGGAUCAUGAUAAGUUAACAAACAGGUCAUCGUCUUGGUGUGUAUCUCGUAAGUGGAGAUUAUCAUGCAACUCCAUGAAGAUCUAUAAAUCUUAAUCGAAAGGGAAAUAUGCCUCAGUAUGGCAUAUGAUGUAUGGUAGAUCAAAAAAAUUAGACGACAUCGGAUCAUCCAUCAUCAAAUAUGCAAUCUCAAUCAUCCAUAUCCACAAUUGAAUCGAGUCCAUUCAUCAGAGAAAUGUCUCCCGGAAGAAGAAGCAUGAUGAUAUCUAAAUAUCAACCAAAUCUCAAACACCUGUCCAAGUAGAGGCUGUCGAAGACGACAUUUGAUCUCAUGGCCUCAGGGUGGUCUUAAAACACGGGACGUAAAUUAGGCUAGGGCGAUACGGUAAUAGAAAUGAAGGGAAACUAGGCCCAAAUACCCAAUAAUAAAAAACCCAUGCCCUUGUGUAUAAAAUGCGACAUGUAUAAAAUAACUCAUGAGCCAUGAACCGAGGUAACCAAGGGAAAUGUCAUGGAACAAGAAAAAAUGAUAAGUAUUCAAACUAUCAAUGAAAUGUGUGAAUGAUGUGUAGAAAGUAUCGAACCAGAAAUGUGUCAAUAUGAGGAAAUGGAUAAAAGGUGUAAGGCAGAUCUGGAAGGAGGUGAUGGGAUACAAAAUAAAGCAAUGAGAAAGUAGAAUGAAUGAUGAUCAACCCAUAUCAGUACAAUAAAGGAAAGUCAUAUCACCAAUGAUGGAAUGGUGGGUGAGACGAUGAUCUGGAGACCCUAGUAAAAGGUCACUCAUCUCUCAUAUGUUACUCAUCUCUCAUACCUAAUACAUAUCAACCUUGAUCCAAGAAGCAUAGGAUCUCAUAGAACUCUCACAUGAACCUUCGACACUCCGAAUGCAUAAUGAAAGUGACUCAAAGAGAGAAAUGUCCUCAUGGAAAACUCGCGCAAACCCUUAAUGAUAAACUCGAUAAACCCUUAAAUAACAACACAUGCUCAAUGGAGUAGGAUGCCAAGUACAAACAUAUCAUUGCACUUUUUUUUUUUUUUUUUGUGGCCAUACCCUAGUCAUCAAUAAAUCUUACUCCAAUGAGAAACUAAAAGGAAUGAAUAAACUCCCUCAAAUUACUAACGAACACAUGAAACCACAUCCUAUGAGAUAAACCCUCAAGCUAAAAUCUCUAAGUCAAUGUAAAAUGAUGGAAUGAAAGGGGUGAUAUGACUACCCUCUAUACAUUAAUAUGUGAAGAAUCAACAUUCCAAGUGAAGAAAGUAUGAAGUGUAACGACCAGUAAUGAAAUCCAAGAUAGAGAUGAAAAUGUGAAAAUAUUGGAACGUAACAGAUGGGGUGGUGAGGUGAUAAUAGAAAAGAUGAGAAAGAUAAGCCUAAAAGUCAAAAGCUCAUGAGACUCUCCUAGCAAAGCAUAACUAUACAUUAAAGGGCCCCAACCCGGGUGUAGAAAUGAUAAGCAAGGUUAUAGAAAAGAAAAGGUUAUAGCAUACCACGUGAGGCUCAAUGGGCUUGCAACGGUCUAAUAUACUAAUAAAUGUGAUAAGGUGUAAGGCUGAUCGAAAUGAUGGCCACCCAUCCUACGACCAUAAUCUCAAAUGUAAUACUUCUUUAGCUAAUCCACAUUGAUGGGCUCUGAAAACUGGUUUUCAUCUAAGUCGGUCAACCAUGCAACCCCUUCUGAAGUCAACUCUCAAAUAACAUAAGGCCCACUCCAACUAGGUCUGAACUUCCCUCUAGGGUCUCUAACUAAGCCUCUAAGAAUCCUCAAAACCAAAUUCCUUUUCUAUAAUGGUCUAGGCUUAACCUGUUUCCUAAAAGCACGUGCCAUCUUUCUUUGAUAGGCCUGAACAUGAUCCGCUGCUCUCAAUCUCUUCUCAUCUAAAAGGUUAAGCUAAUCAAAUCUAGCUUGAGCCCACUCUGUCUCAGAAAUCUGCUGCUCGAGAGCUACUUUCAAUGAACUCAUCUCUGUCUCAACUGGCAAAAUAGCCUCCAUACCAUAUACCAAAUAAUAAGGCAUAGCUCCUGUAGGGUGCGAAAAGAGGUACGAUAUGCCCACAAUGCAAAAUGGAGUUUCUCUAACCAAUCUCGAGAGGUUUCAACCAUCUUCCUCAAAAUCUUCUUAAUGUUUUAAUUUGCGGCUUCUGCUUUCCCAUUAGUUUGUGGCCUAUAUGCAAAAGAUCUAUGAUGUCGGAUGCCAAAUUUCUGUAACAAAGUGUGAACCUCAGCUUGAAAGUGUACUCUUCUGUAAGAAAAUCAACUCAUGUGGCACCCCAUAGCGACAAAUAAUGUGUGAUAUGAUGAAACUGGCAACUCUAGCAGAUGUCAACCUCGUAUAUGAUGCAGCUUCCACCCACUUGGUGAAAUAAUCUAUGGCAACUAGGAUAAACUCAUGACCACUAGAAGAUUUUAGUGAAAUCUUCCCAAUAAUAUCAAUACGCCGUACUGAAAACGACCAUGGUGAGGUCAAAACGUGUAACUUUGAUGGUGGUGCAUGAAUAAGAUCACCAUGAAUCUGACACUUUGGACAUCUCUGAACAAACUAAUAACAAUCUGUCCCCAUAGUCAUCCAAAAGCAACAUGUCCUCAUAAUCUUACGGGCUAGCAUGUGUCCUCCCAUGUGUAGGCCACAAACUCCCGCAUGAACCUCUCUCAUCACUCGAUCUGUAGAGGCUCGAUCUAAACAUAAUAAAUACAUACCAUCAGUUGAUCGCCUUUAUAGAGUCUCUUUGCAAAUCACAAAUCUAGUGGCCAUCUACCUCAAUGCCCUUCGAUCUUUGGCUAUGACGGCCUCUGGGUAUGUGUUAGAUCUAAGAAAUCGAUAUAUGUCAUGAUAUCAUCUUGGACUUUUGUCUCUCCAAUAAGACAAUAGUAAGUGGGUGACCACCUCGACUCAAUCAACAAUGGACGUAUAAUCACAUCGGUCGGAAUGUCCACGGAAGAAGCUAAGGUAGCUAAGGCAUCAACAAACCGGUUUUGUGCUCUAGGUAGACGAGUGUAUCUUAAAUCAUCAAAUCUCCUAACCAGUAACUCUAAAUAAGCAUGAUACGAUCUAAGAUUUACGUCCCUGGUUCUCCAAUCACCUUGAAUCUGUCUGAGUACCAAAUUAGAGUCACUGAAUACCUCCAUCUGUCUAAUGCCAAGCUCCAAUGCAGUCUCUAGACCAAGGAUACAAGCUUCAUACUCAACUAUGUUGUUCGCGACGGGAUGUUGAUUUGAAAACGCAAAGCGAACUAACCUCGGAAUAUGAUCACCUUGGGGGGAUAUCAACAAAACGCCUAUCCCAAACCCUGAUUGGUUGGUUGCACCAUCAAAGUACAUGCGCCAACCUGAUAAGCUAGUCAUAGGAAUGAACUCGUCAUCUAGGAAAACAUCAUCAACUGGUCUACCCUUAGAUAUCAGUAAUAAGGCUAAGUGAUCGACGACAAUGCUUUCCUUGAUAGACUUCUGAGAAACAUACUGAAUAUCAAACUCUGUCAAAAGUAUGAGCCAUCUCAUCAAUCUACCAGUCAAUGCAGGUCUGUCAAACAAAUACCUCAAUGGAUCUAGUCGAGAAAUCAAACACACUGAAUACUCAGUCAGGUAAUGCCUCAAUCUCCUGGUGGUCCAAACUAAUGCUAAGCAGAGGCGCUCAAUCAUAACAUAUCUCAUCUCAUACUCUAGUAUUCUCUUACUCAGAUAGUAAAUAGCUCGCUCCCUCCCUGAAUCAUUAAGCUGAGCUAGCAUACAUCCCAAGGUCAUGUCUGAAACUUACAAAUACAAAAUAAGUGGGCAUCCAGGCAUAGGAGGCACUAAAAUAGGAGGAGAAAGCAAGUAGUCCUUGAUCUUCUCGAAUGCAAUCUGGUAAUCAUCAUUCUAAAUUGUUGGUUGAUUCUUUAUCAAAAGAUGAAAAAUGGGCUCACAUAUGUUUGUCAAUCUGGCUAUGAAACGACUAAUGUACUAUAACCUGCCCAAAAAACCCUUGAUCUCUUUCUCAGUCCUUGACAUAGGCAUGUCAAGUAUGGCUUUGAUCUUAUCUGGGUCAACCUCUAUACCCCACUCACUGACCAUAUGCCCCAACAAUUUCCCAGAAGUCACUCCAAAGGUGCAUUUUUUGGGGUUUACCCUCAACCUGAAUUUUUGAAUCCCCUUAAAGAAUCCCUCUAGAGCCAUUAGGUGAUAUGCUUAACCUCGGGAUUUCACAAUCAUAUCAUCCACAUAAACUUCCACAUCCCUAUGUAUCAUGUCAUGAAACAAAGUGGUAGCGGCUCUCUGAUAAGUAGCUCAUACUUUCUUCAACCCAAAUGGCAUAACUCUAUAACAGUAGCUACCCCACUCGGUAAUGAAGGUUGUCUUCUCCAUCCAUGAAAGACAACAGCGAAUAGCCUACAGUGCUAUCGACCAACAAAUAGAUAUGUGGGAGAGGAAAAUCAUCCUUAGGGCUGGCUUUAUUAAGGUCUUUGAAAUCGACACAAACUCUAACCUUGCCAUCCUUUUUGGGAAUUGGGACGACAUUAGCCAACCACUCUGGAUACUCAACCAUUGAUAUAAAUCCAACAUUGAGUUGUUUCUGAAUUUCCUCUUUCACCUAUAGACUCCAACGUGGGUGCAAUCGCCUCAGUUUCUACUUAACGAGUCUUACAUGUGGUAAGAUAGGCAGAUGGUGCUGGACUAUAGAGGGAUCCAAACCUGGCAUGUCCUCAUAAGACCACACAAAAACAUCCAAGUAUGACCUGAGUAAAUGAAUAAGUCUAUCCCUCUCAUCUAUAAACAGAGGUGAACAAUCUUUAGCUCUCUAGGUUGAUCCUUUGUGCCAAAAUCAAUAGUCUUAACAUCCCUUGUAGCAGGUGAGACUUUCUCAUCUAUAGGAUCUGAGUCAUGAUAAGAAGAGUCUCUAUUUGAAUUAGGUUUCACGAUCUCAUCAUCUAUAUCAAGUAUUUGUGGAGUGGGUGAGUGGGGUGCAGAUAAACAAAUACUAUCACAAAAGACAGGCAAAUACUCGAAAAAUACUCAAAUCUAUAGAUACGAAAUCAUAAACAUUGUCUGAGUGGGAAAUGAAUCCCAAUAAAAUGUCAAAUGAAAGAGGUGGGUUCACAAAGUUGGACGUUCCCUCAAUAAAUCCAAAAGUGUCCUCAAACUCAUCAUCACUAACUGUAACAUCCUCUAUAAGCUCUGGAGCAAGAACUGUCUGGAUAUCCUCAACAAUCUCGAUAGCAGACACCCCAAACAAAUCGAAUGAUGAAGCAGGCUCAUGUUGAACCAUCUUGGCAAUCUGACUCAUACUCAUGUCCAUCUCAUCUCAAUACUCGUCAUGAGGAACAACUCCAUCAGUCACCCCAAUAGGCUCAAUGUUUACUCCAUAAUUAGUAGUCUCAUUUGGAAAGCACAAUGAUAAGAAGCUGGCUCGAUCUGGUGAUGAAGGAGCAAUCAUCACUGAAACUAGUGCGUCAAAAGUCUCAUCUCCUAACUGUAAAUGGUGAAAUUGAUGUUGAAGCUCAUCCACUCCCUCUAUAUUAGUCACAUCGCUAAAAUCCCCCAUAUGAGGAUGAACCUCUGAUCCUCUGAUGUAGUAAUCUGCCAAGCUCAUCCUAUAAGAUGAACAGGAUAAUCAAAUGAUGUGCAAGUUUAACGGGCUCUCACUCUCUCUUGGUGCAAAUGCGCCAUAUACCUAUAGUUAGCCUCUAUAGGAACAAACCCAAGCCCAAAUGGUGUAUCAUGAUGGACAGUAGCCACAAACUCCAUAGGCUUGUGCUGACGUCAUCCCAACCCCGAACUAGGUAUAAAAGACAUACCCCUCAUCAUGUCGAGUACCACCAUACUACUAUGUUGAUCAAAUGACAUAGUUACGAGAUCUCUGCAGAAGUCCCCAACCUCAAGAGUCUGCACCUUAUCAAAUGUAAACCCGAUAAAAAAUAGGUCAUCCUUACUAUGAUUGAUCUGAAGCAUCGGCUCGGAGGAGGCAAACAUAUCUUUAGGAAACUGUACUACGAUGACUUGCCUAUCAUGUAUAAACUUCACCUUCUAAUGAAGGGGAGAUGGAAUAGCCCCGACCCUAUGAAUCCAAGGUCAGCCCAAAAGUAGGUUAAAGGAUGUGGGAAUCCUCAAAACCUGGAAUAAUUUAGGGAAUGUAGUCAGACCAAUCAACAACUCUAUCAUCAAAGUACCCAUGACCUCACUCUUAGUACUGUCAUAUGCUCUAACCGUCUGUGUAGAGGGACCAAAGUCUAAAGGUGCAUAGCCAAGGGCGAUAGCAGUAGCCAAUGGGCAGACGUUCAAGGCUGAGCCAUUGUCCAACGGGACAGAUGGAACUUUGUGGCCUGAACAACCAACUGUAAUAUAUAGAGGGCGUGCAUGGUUUGAAUCCUCUGGUGGCAAGUCAUCAUCUGAAAACACAAUACAUGUGGCCUUGUCGGCCGUCAUCAUAUGAAUCAACCCCUCCGGGGUAGUGGUGGUCUCCACGAGAAUCUGGCUCAAAGCUCGAAUCAAUGCAUCUCUAUGAGCACUAGAAGAUGCUAGCAAACUCCAUAUAGAUAUGCAGGCCUGUGUACUCUGUAACUGCCUCAGUAUCUCAUCAUCCUCUCUCCUGACCUCCUCAUGAGAGACAACACCAUCAAAUGGACUGGCUACUAGAGGUGAGGCCUGAUCUACUCUCCCACUAUGGGUUAUAAUUUGUACAUCUCUCCCCUCUAAAUCGUCAUCAUCUGGCUGUAGGAUAAAUGAGACGAAUGGGCCCUGACGUGUCGUAGCCAACGGUGCAGUAGGAGUCAACUCAAACGGUACCCAAUCUGAAAUCAAACUGAAUGGAGUAGAAGUUUGAGAACCCACUGUGUCAACCUCAUAACCAUCAUCUAAAAAAAUCGGCUCUGGAGAUCCAUCAUCCCAACUCAUCAUGUGUAUGCUGUCAUCUUCUAAAAAAUCUAUGUGAUGGAUACCGCUCGGGAGUGGUGGCAUUACAUGCGUAGAGUGAGCUGGUAGAGGGUUCGUGGUUAGACUUGGUUGCCCCAAGUUAACCAAACCCUGGUCUAUCAAGUCUUGCAUAGCACGUCUUAGAGUUGAGCAGCAAUCAGUGUCAUGUCUUGGACUCUGAUGGUAAGCAUAGUGAACGUCCAUCUUGAACUGAGGUGGCACGGACUGGGGUACAGGCCUAGGAGCUAACUGAGUCAUCAAACUACCCUCCAUGAGCUUUUGGAAAGCUCAAAUCAAGGGCAUACCUAGCUGAGAGAACUAUCGUAUCGGCCUCUGUGCACAAGGAAUAGCAGUCCGUGGAGCUCGGCGCUGAGGGUGUAAGGUAGGAGGUCUCUCUAAGACUUGUGUAGCAAAAUAGGCUUUGGGGUUGGAUGUAGUUAUGUAGGAGUCAUAGGCCUGGGCGGUCUAUACUGAACAUAACGCUGUGGGUAAUAGGCUCCUGAAGUCUGCCCAAAUGUCUGAUAGCGCCUGGGAGAUCUCGAUCCUGCUGAACUGAUAGUACCCACAUCUCCAAGUCUCUAUCCUCUUAAGGGCUUCUUUCCUUUUGAGUCAGAAGGGGAAGACUUGGGCCACAAUCCUCUAGCACUGUCCUCCUCUAUACUGUAUAGAGCCUAUACCAGGGAUCUAAAAUCUGUGUGAGGAAAUCUUAUCAAAUGUCUGGCAAAUUUGGGUUGUAAGAUCCUCAAAAUCAUACUAAUAUGGUCAUUCUAUGAAGGACGAUCAAUAAUCUAUGCAAUAUUCUCCCUCCAUCGAGAGAUAAACGAAGUCACCGACAGCUCCAGUCCCUGUCUUAAGGCCUCUAGCUCUCUCCUUGAGACUAUAAUGACAAUGUUAAAAGCAAACUGUCUCAAAAACUCUUGGGCCAAAUCAUUCCAAGUCCUAUGGCGUGAAGCAUCUAAAGAAGUAAACUAAUGCUAUGCUACACCACUCAAGGACAUGGGAAAAAGCAUAAUCAAGUGGGUCUUAUCCAACCUGUGGGCCCUUAUCACAGUAUUGUAUAGCCUCAAAUGAAUCUUGGGGUAACCUAUGCCCAUAUACCUCUUAAUCUCUGGCAUCCUGAAAUGGGACGGUAAAUUGGCCACCGGUGCUCCAUCAAAGUCAUUCCAACUGAUAGCUCCAUCUAAAACCCUCAUCUGUCUUAUCUUCUGCUCAAGUCUAUCCAUACGAGCAUGUGCAUCCUUUGAGGUUUGAAUGGGUGCUAUGACAAAAAGUGGGGUAGCAUCAAUUUGACUAUGUAAAACAUACGGUGCAGGGUGUGGAACCAACUGACUGAGUGAAGGAGGUGGUGGCGCCGCAGAGUCAUACUGUGCGCUAUCCUAAGGCGGGGCUUGCUACCCAUCUAUCUUUUGGCCGAGGCCGAUUAUAGCCUCCUGAAUCGAAGCCAUGGCUAUGACAAACUGGUCAACAGUGACUACCUGGGAGUCCAUAUCUCUCUGAUCUACUCUCUGGUUUGGCUGAUCUUAUACUCUAGUCUACCUGCCUCUAACUCUAGUCCAUGAAGGUGAAUCCAUACUAGGCACCAAAAUUACUCUUAAAAACACGGAAACAUUAGAUGAGAAGUUGUACAAGGGUAGCUCUAUAGGAACCGACUAAAAGGUAAUCAAGCAUAGAGCCCAUGUAUACUCAAAUUGAUACUCGUAUUUGAUCAUACCAAAAUGAAACUAUGGAGAGGGUUACCAAACCCAAUUGUAACCAAAGCAGCUCUGAAGGUCCACAAAUGCACCCACGUGUAGGAAUGAAAUCCUAAUUGGGUCUAGGUUAACCUACAAGGUUGAGGUGGUUCUAUAAGAUAAAAAUGGGUGAGUUAAAGGAUCCCUAGCAGAAGCGAUCGUACCCUCUACCGAUACGCAACCCUUUGCACGCCUCCAAGGAGACGGGGUGCUUCCAUGCAAGGUGGUCAUCACCUCCACACAUGCACUUCUUCGCGUUCCUAGGGGGUUUCUUAAUGGUCAAGGCUCUCCCAUCUCUCAGCGCUUUGGGAUAAUCUAAGGUGCACGGUGAAGGAUGUGGGUACAUUCGAAACACCUAAGGUCUAAAGUGAGAUAGUGAACAAAGACAAGCAAUCAUGCAAUCAUACAAGAGAGAGGGUUGUCAUGCGACAAGCAAUCAUGCGAAACAGAGAAAUAUCAAACAAUCAAAGUCCUAUGUAACAAAUGUGAGAGUGAAUCAUGCUGAAGUGAGCAAACAAUCAGGUGAUCAUGCAAGAUAAACAAGUAUAAAGACAUGUUAAGAUAGCAAACCAAUCAAGCAAGCAAACCAAAUCACAUUGCCUAAAAAAAGGAGGUACCCUCUAAUCGACCAAUUAAACGCCAUAUUUUCCUCAACUAGUGUUCAAGCUUGAUCCUUAAAAUCCCUAGUGGAGUCGCCAAUUUGUGGACCUGUAUUUUUCAUGUGUUCCUCUACUCGGUCGACGAGACUUGCUUUUAUUUGUGAAAUAUUAUUUUUGAAAAAUUCGGAGUCACCACUUAUUUUAUUUUAAAGGGAAAAUAAAAUAAGAAAUAAAACCCUAAAAAAAAUGACUCCACAUUUUUGGAAAAGCAUGUCUUGAAAAACCCGAGUCUAGGUCCAGGGAUUAGGUUACCUAUUGGGAAAGUACCUCUAAAAGGUAGUACCCCUCUAAGCCCUACAAAGGUCUCUACUGACUAAGUUAAGGGAAAUGUGGCAAUUAAUUUAUUAAUUGAGGAUACCUAGGUAGACUAAGGUGAUUUAAAAAAAAAAAAGCAUGCCAAACAAGAUCAAAUCACAAUAAAGGAGAGUUAGGAUGCAUACCCGAAUCGCUUCUCAAGCGCUAUCAUAAAAUAUCAGAGUUAGUAUAGAUAUAUAACACACGACAUGUAUUCAAUCAUAGCAAAUCAAGCAUACAUCCAAGCACCUAAGGAUCAUAUCAAGCAUAAAUAAGGCUCACAACAACAUGCAUGUUCAUGAAAUCCCGAAAAGUAAAGAUAGAGAGCGUACCUAGAUAGCAUGCAUAAUUGAUAAGAUUCUUCCAAAAAUGUUAGAAUGGUUAGGACAAGUAUAAAUUAUAUAACAUCUCUAUUAUAUCUAAUAUACAGUACCAAAUCCAAAAGUUAACCAAGGUAAGUCAAAUGACUCCAAAAGCAGAUAACAAAUUCAAGCAAGUAUUGAGUCAUCAGCAUGCAUAUAGUAAAGGGAGCAUCACAAAACAAUUGCUAAAAAAAUGCCUUGCAGUGGAAUUUAAUCACAAAAAAUUUCAGAAAGCAACUCCUACAUAUCUAGAACAAGAUACCAAAAUCCAAACACUCAUUCAAAUGACAAAUUGUAGUGAAGACACCCUAAAGUUCCAGAAGGUCCGGAUUAGGUAAAAAGAAAAUAGUGACAUGCAUAAAUGAUUUUUUUAAAGAAUUAUAAGACAUCAAAGAAAUUUGUAAAAAAAAAUAAAAUACAUCAUUCAAGGUGUCUAUAUCACAAGGAAAAUAAAUUAAGGGUCGGGUAGUACUCAAAAAUAUUUUUAAAACACUCAAGCUUAUCAGAUGUCCAGAUUCCAUCAUGCACAGUAGGUACAACUUUGAAAAAUCAUAUCUCCCUCAACAAGGCAUAUUUUUUAAUAUUUUAUGUGUCUAAGAUCAAUUUAAAGAAGCCUAGAAUUGAGGAAAAAUAUUGAAUCAAAUUUAAAAAGUUUUUUGUUAUUUGAUUUUUUCAAAAAGAUCUCGGGUCCAGAACUAGAUGAAAACAGAGCCCCCCUAAAGACUUGUUCAUAUCUUCUAUUCUAGAAUGGCUUUCCAACUCAAAUGAAACUUUAAAUUCAAGUUCAAGAAGUGAGAAAAGUCAUACAAGUUUUGGAAAACUUUUAAAAACAUUCUAAAGUUGCUAAAAUGAAUUUUAAAUCUAAAGGGUCAGUGGCUGAGUGAAAACUGGUAGCAAGGAAGAGUUUUGAAAAAAUUUCUUAUGUAGGGGUUUCACCAAUUCCCCAAUUGAUAUACACAAAUCCAACCUAGAAUCAUCCCACUUGUUUGGGACCACAACCCUGAAUUUGUAUUCCGUUAAAAACCAGGAUUUUUAUUUGAAAACUGAGAAAGAUGCAAACUGAUCAAAACAUGGUUGCAUAUUUUUAAAGAAAAUGGGAUUUUGAUUCUAAAGACUCUAAAUGAAUUAUUUUUAGCACAAGAUUUUCAAAGGUAUCUUUUGAGAAAAGCAUUUGACUUUAAAAUAAAGGGAAUUAGUAUGAAAACAACAAAACAUAAGAAAUGAAAUACCGAUCAAAAUAGAAGAAAAUGAAUUCACAAAGUGAAAUUUUUUACAAUCCGAGUAAACCAAAGUGGUGAGAAUGGAGGCCAAUCUUCACUUUUUUUUUUAUUUUUUAUGACCUAUGAAAAUAAAAGUAAAGAUAAAAUUAUUAUAGCAACCUACCAGAGAUGUUUAGAUCAAGUAAACUAACAUUUUAACAAAUCCAACUUUUAAUUUUCCACCAAAAAUUACAUGCUAACGUUUUAAAAAAUCUAACUUUCAUUCUAUUACUAAGGACUAUGGAAAACAAGUGUCUAAAGAAAUUCUAUCUUUUAAAUGAUCACCAAGAAUAAAUAAAAAAAAUAAAGACUUCAAGAAAAUCUUAAACUAGCAUAGAUAAUCAAGAACUAAUUGUUGGAAUUUUAAAUGCAUCUAAACUUAAGAUAAAUCAAUCAAGCGCUUAGAAAUGAGUUUUAAAAUGAAACUAAUAAUACAGGAUAUUCACAAUUAUCAACUUAGUUUCAAAGAAAUAGUAAACGUCAUCGGGAUCACCAAAACAACAUCUAAUAAUCUAAAGAACAACAUAUAAUGGCAUAGAUCAUAAAAAAACAGUAACUUAUUGCUUAGAAUCGAAUGUAAAUUAACAUGGGUUUUUAAAAUUAACUGCUAAGGAUUCAGGGAAUAAACGAAACAUCAUGGAUCAAUAUAGAAAAGAAUUCAUAGGUAUGCACUAAGGGGACCGAAAGAUUUCAUGAGUGUUGAUUUAAAAAAAAACAGUUGAUUCCUAAUUCAAUAGUUCUAAUGAAUUUUAUUUAUAAAAGAAUGUUUUGAUUAGUUUAAAUAAUAAGAAUAAAAAUGCUUUAAUUUCAUUUAAGGAAAAUACUUUUAAAAAGUUUAUUUACACGAAAAUAAAUGUUAUUACUUUUGUAAAAGAAAUAUUUCAUGAGUAUUAAAAAAAUAAUUGAUUUCCAAUGCAAUAGUUUUAAUGAAUUUUAUUUAUAAAAGGAAGUUUUGAUUAAUUUAAAUAAAAAAAGGCUUUAAUUUCAUUUAAGGAAAAUACUUUUAAAAGUUUAUUUACAAAAAAUACCAUAAUUCUAUUUUAUUUAAAAAGGAAAAAAAAAUUCAUAGGAAAGAAAUCAACAAAAAUAAUCAUAAUAAUAAAUUUUAUCUAUAACAAUAAUAAUAAUAAUAAUAAUAAUAAUAAAACCUCAUAAAAAAAUUAUCUCGCCAUUUUUAAAAAUAUUUUAUAAAUGUGAAAAAAAUAUCUUUUAUAAUUUUAUUUAAAUUGUGUACGAUAUUUAGAAGGAGAUAGGAUUGUAAAGUAUUGGAAUAGGAUUUUUUUUUUUUAAAAAAAGGAAAAUAUUUCAUGGAGGAUGAUUGGAAAAUCUUCAUCUUCUUCGCGAUCAGGCCUUGGCACAUGUCAGCCAUGGAAGGAGAUGGUCCAACUCCGAUCACUCUCCAUUUCGGCUAACUCUGCUGAAGCAUUCCAGAAAAUCCAGAACCCACGCUGCCUACUUUCGGAUAAACUACAUCAUCGUCAUUCUCUUCAUCCUCUUCGCCGUGGUAUCCAUACCCAUCCCCAAGUCCUUCACCAUAUACUCCGCAUAACCACCUGGUCUAACCUCUCCAUCAUCCUCCUCCUGAGCAAUUCCAUUGCUUCCGACCCUGCAUGCCCUAACGCUCUAUAUUGCGCCUCCAUUUCCACUGCCAGCCUGCACCAUUAUUCUUCCACUCUGUCAAAACGGCCCAUUGCACCACCCUCAUAAUCUCAUCCAACAUCAUCAUGGAUGGUCAUCAACAUCCUCCAUCGUUCAAAGUCACUCAUCGUUUCCAUACCUGUUAUGCACCAAUGUUCUCAUUCACCACAUCUUCACAACUCGCCACUUCCUUUUCCUAUCUUUAUUCUUGUCAACAUCACAAAAUCAUUCAUUUUCACCUUGUAGCCGCGCGUAGCCACCCACAACAUCUCGUGGCCGCUUCAAUUCCCUCAUAACAGAUAACAUAAUUCCCAUCAUAGUCGGUUAUGAUCUCAUUCCAUUGAUUUAAUCAUAUAAAUAAAAAAAAUAAAAAAAAAUAAAAAAUAAAACAUGCAAGGACAUCAUUCAAAUCAUAGCGGACCAUAUAUUCACAUUAGUGUGCAUUUUGAAUCCAACAAAAUGAAGUCGAAGAACACUAACCUUGCCUAAAGAAUGGUGCAGCAGGAUGAAGAUCCUUCCUCUUCUCAAUGGUGCGGUUCCUCCGGAAAAUCUCUUGAUGAAGGGAAAAUCUCUUGAUGAAGUGGUUGCCUUUUCUCAAUCGUCCAUCUUCCCUCUUCUAUCCACUUCUUUCACUUCGUGCGGUAGUUUUAAAAAAUAAAAAUAAAAUCUCUCUAGCACAUUGGCCAUCCUUCACUACUCUCUAUCCUCAUUUUUCUUUCUUUUUUAGUGCUUUUCACAACCACAGUAAUGGAAGGAACAACAGAAAUAGUCCACCUUCUCCCUUUCGGAUCAUCCUCCCUUUAAUUGUGCCUCCUUUUCCUUUUCUUUCUUAAUCUAUUCUCCAUCAUCUAGUCAACUUCUCUACAGCCACGGUGGGAAAAAAAACGGCAGAAAAGGUUUCCUUCUCCUCUUCCAAUUACCCUCCAUCCCCUCCAAUUUUCCUUUUUUUUCUUUGCCUUUCCUUUUCUCUCUUCUUCUCUUUCUUAAUCUUUUCUUAUUAUAGGCACGUGGGAUCCAUGCAAAACAAAUAAUAAAUAAAUAAAAAAUAGGAAAAUAAAAAUACAAAUAAAAGAAAAUAAAGAUUAGAAUAAUAAUAAAUAAAAAACGUGUAACUAAGAAUUAAAAAUCCAAAAUAUGCAAUUUUAAACGAAAUUAAAAAUAUAGAUCACAUGCAAAACUAAAAUGAAUCAUCAACUCAAGCGACUUUUUAUCAAAACAAAUUAUUAAAUAGAUAAAGAAAAAAAAUAAAUAUGAUUAUUAAGUUCAUGCAAUUUCCUAAAAAUAAAUAAAUAAAUAUAUGAAUAAACUAAUAAAUUGGGAGAAAUAAAAAACAAAAAAACAAAAUCAAGCACUUGCAAGCCGUACGAACCAUGCAACCAUGCAAGCCAUACAAAAAAUAAUAUGAACUUUCCUAAGGUGCCUAAGUGGGCCUAGGGUGGUGCUUAAUGGGCCUAAGAUGCCUAAGUGGGCCUGAGGUGUUUAAGUGAUCAUAAGGUGCCUAAGUGGGCCUAGUGUGCCUAAAUGGGUCUAAGUCUAAACUAGGGCUUCCAAGAAUCACAAUGGAGUUAGAUAAAUCCCUUAACCAAAGUCCCCAAGGUGGCUUAGAAAAGAUAGACUACAUGAGUAGUAAUGGGCUGCCAUGGAACUAUUGCAAAAUAUGGGACAAAUACCUUAUAGGACAUGUGAUAAGAGGACAAAAUGGAGGGUUUACAAGCAUAUGCCCUUAAAAUGGAGUGAUUAAGGGCUACAAGUAGUCAUGCUUGAUUCUUCUUCAAAAUUGUUAAACCUCCUCUGAAGUUGUGAUGAUUUUAGCUCGACAAGUAAAAAAUUAGCACUUACAAGAUUAUGUUUGACUUUGUCAUAUUGCUCAAUACAAGUUUAACAUGUGUCAUAUCCUUCGUCAAACUCAUUGGAGAACAUUUUAAAUUGUCCUAGAUUUUAGAGUUUUUUUAGGUAUCUUUUUGUAUGUCCCCGAAGAGACCAAUAUUUAUGGGUGGAGUUUGGAUACCUUAUUUGGCAUCCUAAGAUUUGAUUUUAUAGAUUCUAAAAAUUUAAUUCAUUGAUUGCAUUACUUUUUCUUUUCUUAGAUGACAUUUUACUAAGCCAACAAGAGAAUACAUCCUCUUUCUUGUAAUUUGAUUUGAUUUUAUUUUGCAAGGCAAUUUUCAUUUUUAUGUAUAGUUUCACAAAAUGAUACAAAGGUGCUUCUAUAGCCUAGUGAUGGUCAUUGAUUUUAUGGCUUAACAAAAUUAUGGAUAUUGAAAAUUAUGGAUAGGCAAGUGGUAUUUCACCUUAUAAUGUCAAUCUCUUAAUUAUUGUAUGAAUAAUUUUGCUUUAGGAUAGUCUUUCAUAAAUUUAAAGAGCUUUUGAUAUAGUAUUGAAGAAAAAUUGCAUUGACAUGGAACAAAAUCAUAUAAGGUGAACUAAAGGGGUUUAAAAGUAAAAUAUGGAAUUCUUUUAUUUAUUAACUUAUUAAAUUUUUAUCUUUUACUAAGAAAGAGAAUAAAUUGGAGAAUGUUUAAGAAAAAACAAAGUUCAAAUUUUAAUUUUAAUUUUCAAUUUUUUGUUACCUUCUAAAAUUUUCUUUUAUUUUUUAUUUUAAUCUUUUAGUCCAUUCAAUUUGAGAUAGCUAGAUAAAUAUACUAUCAUCAUAAUCAUAUAUGUAUAUUUAGGUUGUUUGUUAUUGGGACUUUUACUAAAUUAGUAUACUUAACACACUUAAGAUCUAGCGUUUCUUUACAAUGGUCUUAUAUAUUAGGUAAAAAAAUUUAUUUUAUAUAAAUCUUUUUCAAGAAGUAUUUGCAAAAUGUCUUGCAUGAAAAAAGAUUCCAAGAACUCAAUAUUCUUGUUAAAAGAAUUUAUAAAUACACAAUCUUGUAACUUAAAUUAAUCAGAUAAAGUUACCACUUAAAUUAAUCAGAUAAGCUUUGUAAAAGUUGAACAAAAAGCAAGUCUUACUUUUUUAGAAAAGUAAAGUUGAAUUGUGGAUGUCUCAAUCCACUAGCUUGACUUCAAAAGCUAAGAUGCAAUGGUGCUUUAUGCCCUUAAGAUCAUGAGAUAUUUUAAUUUAUUACUUAUGAAUUAAAGAAUUAGGUAGACUUAUAAAAAGGUAAAGACUAAUAUAGUUAUAUGAUUGUUAAAAAGUAAAUAGAAAAAAAAAAAAAAGAAGAAGAAGAAGAAGAAGAAAGAUAUCAUAAUCUCUCUUUCUUAUUCUUUGCUUCGUUAACACGUCUCUGGUUGAUUGGCUUGGGCUCUAAAUCAUUUAAAAUCUAAUGAUUUUGCAAAAAAAAAAAAAAGAAAAAAAAAAGAAAAGGAAAAAAUAAGUGACCUUAAAAGCAAAUACGACUAUAGUUCUAAAAUUUUAUUUCCAAAAUAUAUCUUCUUGUGAGGAUACAAAAUUGACUCUUAAGAAUUAAUGUAGUUUCAUAUUAAGUGUAUCCAUGUCCAAUAUAUUUUUUUUCUUUCUAAAUAAUGCAUUGUUUUUUAUAUUAAAAAGAAAAAAAAACCUUUUAAUGUCAAUCUCUUAUUUUAUAAAUAAUUUUACUUUACAACAUAAUACUAUAAAUUUAAAAAACCUCUAAUUUAAUAUUGAAGAAAAAUUGCAUUUGCAUGUACACAAUCAUGUACACACUUAAGAUCAAGCAUUUCUUUACAAUGGUCUUAUAUAUUCGGUAAAAAAAAACUUUAUUUUAUAUAAAUCUUUUUCAAGAGGUAUUUUCUAAAUGUCUUGCAUAAAAAAUACUCCAAGAACUCAAUUCUCUUGUUAAAAGAAUUUAUAAAUACACAAUCUUGUAACUUAAAUUAAUCAGACAAAGUUACCACUUUAUAUAGGUUAUAAUAAGACUCAGCAUUUCAUGAUAAGGGAAAAUUUUAAAAAAUUGUCAGUGGUUGGGCAAAAUAAAUUUAAAACUUUAUGAAUAAUAAGGUUUGUAAAAGUUGAACAAAAAGCAAAUCUUACUUUUUUAGAAAAGUAAAGUUGAAUUGUGGAUGUCUCAAUCCACUAGCUUGACUUCAAAAGCUAAGAGGCAAUGGUGCUUUAUGCCCUUGAGAUCAUGAGAUGUUUUAAUUUAUUACUUAUGAAUUAAAGAAUUAGGUAGACUUAUAAAAAGGUAAAGACUAAUAUAGUUAUAUGAUUGUUAAAAAGUAAAUAAAAAAGAAAAAGAAAAAAGAUAUCAUAAUCUCUCUUUCUUAUUCUUUGCUUGGUGGACAUGCUCUCCUAGCUGAUUUGGCUUGGGCUGCUAAAUCAUUUCAAAAUCUAAUCGAUUUUUGCUUCGAAAAAAAAAAAAAAAAANNNNNNNNNNNNNNNNNNNNNNNNNNNNNNNNNNNNNNNNNNNNNNNNNNNNNNNNNNNNNNNNNNNNNNNNNNNNNNNNNNNNNNNNNNNNNNNNNNNNCUUAGGAAUUAAAGAAUUAGGUGAGACUUAUAAAAAGGUAAAGACUAAUAUAGUUAUAUGAUUGUUAAAAAGUAAAUAAAAAAGAAAAAGAAAAAAGAUAUCAUAAUCUCUCUUUCUUAUUCUUUGCUUGGUGGACAUGUCCCUAGUUGAUUGGCUUGGGCUCUAAAUCAUUUAAAAUCUAAUGAUUUUGCCCAAAAAAAAAAAAAAAAAAGAAAAAAAACAAAAGAAAAAAGAAAAAAAAAAGUGACCUUAAAAACAAAUACGACUAUAGUUCUAAAAUUUUAUUUCCAAAAUAUAUCUUCUUGUGAGGAUACAAAUUUGACUCUUAAGAAUUAAUGUAGUUUCAUAUUAAGUGUAUCCAUGUCCAAGAUUUUUUUUUUCUUUCUAAAUAAUGCAUUGUUUUUUAUAUUAAAAAGAAAAAAAUACCUUUUAAUAUCAAUCUCUUAUUUUAUAAAUAAUUUUACUUUACAACAUAAUACUAUAAAUUUAAAAAACUUCUAAUUUAAUAUUGAAGAAAAAUUGCAUUUGCAUGUACACAAUCAUGUACACACUUAAGAUCUAGCAUUUCUUUACAAUGGUCUUAUAUAUUCGGUAAAAAAAUUUAUUUUAUAUAAAUCUUUUUCAAGAAGUAUUUUAUAAAAUGUCUUGUGUAAAAAAAAAACUCCAAGAACUCAAUACUCUUGUUAAAACAAUUUAUAAAUACACAAUCUUGUAACUUGAAUUAAUCAGAUAAAGUUACCACUUUAUAUAGGUUAUAAUAAGACUCAACAUUUCAUGAUAAGGGAGAAUUUUUAAAAAUUGUCUGUGGUUGGGCAAAAGAAAUUUAAAACUUUAUGAAUAAUAAGGUUUGUAAAAUUUGAACAAAAAGCAAGUCUUACUUUUUUAGAAAAGUAAAGUUGAAUUGUGGAUGUCUCAAUCCACUAGCUUGACUUCAAAAGCUAAGAUGCAAUGGUGCUUUAUGCCCUUGAGAUCAUGAGAUGUUUUAAUUUAUUACUUAUGAAUUAAAGAAUUAGGUAGACUUAUAAAAAUUAAGGUAAAGACUAAUAUAGUUAUAUGAUUGUUAAAAAAUAAAUAAAAAAAAAGAAGGAAAAAGAUAUCAUAAUCUCUCUUUCUUAUUCUUUGCUUGGUGGACACGUCCCUAGCUGAUUGGCUUGGGCUCUAAAUCAUUUAAAAUCUAAUGAUUUUGCAAAAAAAAAAAAAAGAAAAGAAAAAUAAAAGUGACCUUAAAUGCAAAUAUGACUAUAGUUCUAAAGUUUUAUUUCCAAAAUAUAUUUUCUUGUGAGGAUACAAAAUUGACUCCUAAGAAUUAAUGUAGUUUCAUAUAAAGUGUAUCUAUGUCCAAGAUUCUUUUAUUUAUUUAUCUAUUUUUAUUUGUUUCUAAAUAAUGCAUUGUUUUUUAUAUUAAAAAGAAAAAAAAAACCUUUUAAUGUCUAUCUCUUAUUUUAUAAAUAAUUUUACUUUACAACAUAAUACUAUAAAUUUAAAAAACCUCUAAUUUAAUAUUGAAGAAAAAUUGCAUUUGCAUGUACACAAUCAUAUAAUAUAAAUCAAGAGGAUAAAUAAGAAGUAAAUACCAAAGACAUGAGCAUAAGAAAAGGUGAAGAUGUAUAUAAAUUAAUAAAAUGUUUAAUGGUGAUUAUUAUAUGAUCGUGUCCUUUAAACAUUAUUAAUUUUUAAUGGAAUCAUACCAUUUUUCUUUUUUUUGUAUAAAGGUAAAAACAAACAUUGAAUUUUGUAAAAAAAUAUUUUUCAAGAAGCAUUUGCAAACAUUUUUGCAUGUAAAAAAAUUCUAGAUGUUAACACUUUUGCAACUUAUAUUAAUUAGAUAAUUACCAACAUGUAUGUUAGACUUGACAAUUUAAGUAAUAAAAAUUUAUGCUUGAUAAUGCAAAUUAACACCAAGUACCAUGGAAAAAUAAAGGAAAAAUGAGUGUCUCUCGUGUUUGUAGGUGAUAAAUAGUUAUUAAAUAAACAACAAUAUUUAUAUUUUUUUUAAUUUUCAUAAAUUUUCAUUUCAUGAUAGUAGAAUGCAUAUCAUCCUACCAGAUAAAAUAAAUGUAAAAUUAGGGAAAGAUUAACAAGCAAAGUUGAAAUGAAGUAAUAUAUAAGUCUUGCUUUACAUGUAGUGGCCUUCUCUUUAAUAUAUUUUGUGCUUAAUAUGCCAUUGAGUUCAUGAGAUGUUUCAAUUAAUUAUCUAUGAAUUAAAGUGUGGGGGAAGAGAAAGACUAAUAUGCUUAUUGGAAACAUAAACGUACUUUAGACAAUUAUCUUCUUUUUUUUUUUUCUUUUUUCCUCUUUCACAUAAGGUAGUGGUGUUUACUCAUAAAUUUUUCCAUGUUCUUUAGUAGGUAGAGAUAUUUUUAAGUCAAGUUAAUUGAUAUUAAAAACAUAGACCUUGGUCAAUUAUCCCUUUUCUUCUCUUUCACAUAAGGUAAGGGCGUACAUUGAUAUUUCUAUGUCUUUUGCAAAGGAUUAUACUUAAGCGGUAAUCUUUUAAGUUAUGAUAAUUAAACUUAAUAAUACAAAAACUAGGUAUGGUAUGUGAAAAUAAACAAAAAAAAAAAGGAAUCUAUCAUGUUACUAACUGAAAAAUAGUGAUUAAAUGAAAAAAAUAAAUACAAUAAUAGGGGAAAGACAACAAGAAAGAUUGAACAAAAAGUAAUAAAGUCUUGCUUUAUUAGAAAGUAAAGUUGAAUUGUGGAUGUCUCAAUCCACUAGCUUGACUUCAAAAGCGAAGAUAUAAUGGGUUAUGAUGAUUAUACUUGAGUGGUAAUCUUUUAAGUUUUGAUAAUUAAACUUAAUAAUACAAAGACUAGGUAUGGUAUGUGAAAAUAAACAAAAAAAUAAAAAUAAAAAUAAAAAAGGAAUCUCUCAUGUCACUAAGUGAUAAAUAGAGAUUAAAUGAAAAUAAAAAAUAUAAAAAUAGGGGAAAGACAACAAGAAAGGCUGACCAAAAGUAAUAAAGUCUUGCUUUAUUAGAAAGUAAAGUUGAAUUGUGGAUGUCUCAAUCCACUAGCUUGACUUCAAAAGCGAAGAUGUAAUGGGUUAUGAUGAUUAUACUUGAGUGGUAAUCUUUUAAGUUAUGAUUAUUAAACUUAAUAAUACAAAGACUGUGUAUGGUAUGUGAAAAUAAAAAAUAAAAAAAUAAAAAAGAAAUCUCUCAUGUUACUAAGUGAUAAAUACUGAUUAAAUAAAAAUAAAUAAAUAUAAAAAUAGGGGAAAGACAACAAAAAAUGUUGAACAAAAAGUAAUAAAGUCUUGCUUUAUUAGAAAGUAAAGUUGAAUUGUGGAUGUCUCAAUCCACUAGCUUGACUUCAAAAGCGAAGAAGUAAUGGGUUAUGAUGAUUAUACUUGAAUGGUAAUCUUUUAACAUGUGAUAAUUAAACUUAAUAAUACAAAGACUAUGUAUGGUAUGUGCAAAAAAAUAAAAAUAAAAAAAGAGUCUCAUGUUACUUGGUGAUAAAUAGUGAUUAAAUGAAAACAAAUCAAUAUAAAUAUAGGGGAAAGUCAACUAGAAAGGUUAAACAAAAAGUAAUAAAGUCUUGCUUUAUUAGAAAGUAAAGUUGAAUUGUGGAUGUCUCAAUCCACUAGCUUGACUUCAAAAGCAAAGAUAUAAUGGGCUAUGAUGAUUAUAUUGGUUUGGUAAUCUUUUAAGUUAUGAUAAUUAAACUUAAUAAUACAAAGAAUAGGUAUGUUAUGUGAAAAUAAACAAAAAAAUAAGGAAUCUCUCAUGUUACUAAGUGAUAAAUAGUGAUUAAAUGAAAAUAAAUAAAUAUUAAAAUAGGGGAAAAACAACAAGAAAGGUUGAAAAAAAGUAAGAAAGUCUUGCUUUAUUAGAAAGUAAAGUUGAAUUGUGAAUGUCUCAAUCCACUAGCUUGACUUCAAAAGCGAAGAAGUAAUGGGUUAUGAUGAUUAUACUCUAAUGGUAAUCUUUUAAGUUAUGAUAAUUAAAGUUAAUAAUACAAAGACUGUGUAUGGUAUGUGAAAAUAAACAAAAAUAAAAAAAGAAUCUCUCAUGUUACUAAGUGAUAAAUAGCGAUUAAAUGAAAACAAAUAAAUAUAAAAAUAGGGGAAGGACAAUAAGAAAGUUUGAACAAAAAGUAAUAAAAUCUUGCUUUAUUAGAAAGUAAAGUUGAAUUGUGGAUGUCUCAAUCCACUAGCUUGACUUCAAAAGUGAAGAAGUAAUGGGUUAUGAAGAUUAUACUUGAAUGGUAAUCUAUUAAGUUAUGAUAGUUAAACUUAACAAUACAAAAACUAUGUUUGGUAUGUGAAAAUAAACAAAAAAAAUUAAAAUAAAAAAAGAAUCUCUCAUGUUACUAGGUGAUAAAUAGUGGUUAAAUGAAAACAAAUAAAUAUAAAAUUAGGGAAAGACAACAUGAAAGGUUGAACAAAAAGUAAUAAAGUCUUUCUUUAUUAGAAAGUAAAGUUGAAUUGUGGAUGUCUCAAUCCAUUAGCUUGACUUCCAAAGCGAAGAUGUAAUGGGUUAUGAUGAUUAUACUUGAGUGAUAAUCCUUUAAGUUAUGAUAGUUAAACUUAAUAAUACAAAGACUAGGUAUGGUAUAUGAAAAUAAACAAAAAAAAAAUAAAAAUAAAAAUAAAAAGGAAUCUCUCAUGUUUCUAAGUGAUAAAUAGUGAUUAAAUGAAAACAAAUAAAUAUAAAAAUAGGGGAAAGACAACUACAAAUGUUGAAUAAAAAAGUUGAAUUGUGGAUGUCUCAACUCACUAGUCGGACUUCAGAAGCGAAGAUGUAAUGGGUUAUGAUGAUUAUACUUGAGUGGUAAUCUUUUAAGUUAUGAUAAUAAACUUAAUAAUACAAAGACUAGGUAUGGUAUGUGAAAAUAAACAAAAAAUAAAAAGAGAAAUAAAAAGGAAUCUCUCAUGUUUCUAAGUGAUAAAUAGUGAUUAAAUGAAAAUAAAUAAAUAUAAAAAUAGGGGAAAGACAACUAGAAAGGUUCAACAAAAAGUAAUAAAGUCUUGCUUUAUUAGAAAGUAAAGUUGAAUUGUGGAUGUCUCAAUCCACUAGCUUGACUUCAAAAGCGAAGAUGUAAUAUUGCUUUAUGUGCUUGAAAUCAUAAGAUGGUUUGAUUUAUUACUUAUGAAUGAAGGAAUUAGGUAGACUAAUAUGGUUUUAUGACCGUUGAAAAGGAAAAAGAAAAAAAAAAACAAAAGAUAUUGUAAUAUCUCUUACUUAUUCUUUGCUUGGGGGAUAUGUCUUAGUUGAUUGGCUUAACUUUGAACCAUUAUACAAAAGAACUUAUGAUAUAAUGAUUUUGCACAAAAAAAAAAAAAAAAACAAAAAAGCAAAAUUAUGAAUGUAACUAUAAAAGCCAAUACAACUAUAGUUCUAAAAUUUUAUUUCCAAAAUAUAUCUUCUUGCAAGGAUACAAAAUUGACUCUUAAGAAUUAAUAUAGUUUCAUAUUAAGUGUAUCUAUGUGCAUAAUUUAUUUAUUUAUUUAUUUAUUUUUUCAAAUGAUGUGUUGUUUUUUAUAUUAAAAGAAAAAAAAUUUAAUGUCAAUAUCUUAUUUUAUAAAUAAUGUUGCUUUACAACAUAACACAAUAAAUUUAAAAAGUCUUUUUUUAAUGUUGAAGAAAAAUUGCAUUUGCAUGUAUGCAAUCAUAUAAUACAAAUCAAGAGGGUAUAUAAGAAGUAAAUACUGAAGACACGGGCUUAAAAGAAGGUGAAGAUGUACAUAAAUUAGUAAAAAGUUUAAUGAUUAUGAUUAUAUGAUUGUGUCCUCUAUACUUUAUUGAUUUUUUAAUGGAAUCACACAAAUUUUCUUUUCUUGUAAAAAAGUAAAACCGAACAUUGAUUUUUUAUUUAUUUAUAAAAAUAAGAAGUAUUUGCAAACAUUUUUGCAUGUAAAAAAAAUCAUUGAAGCUAGCACUUUCACCAAAAGAAUCUACAAAUGCAUCGACUUGCAACUUCUAUUAAUCAGAUAGAAUUACCACUUCAUAUGUUACACUUGACAAUUUAAGUAGUGAAAAUUUGAUGAAAAACUUUAUACUUGACAAUACGUUUGUAACAAUUUGGUAAAAUUUUUUAUUAGUGGUAAUCUUAUGAGAUAUGAUAAUUAGACUUGAUAAUGCAAAUAAAACACUAAGUACCAUGGGAAAAUGAAGGAAAAAGGAUUGUCUCUUGUGUUUUUAAGUGACAAAUAGCAAUAAAAUAAAAAACAAUAUAUAUAUUAAUUUUCAUAUUUUUUUUUUCAUUAUAGUGGCAUGCAUAUUAUCUUACAAGGUAAAAUAAAUGUAAAAUUAGGGGAAAGACUAACAAGAAAAGUUGAAAAAAAGUAAUAUAUAAGUCUUGCUUUAUAUGUAAUGGUCUUCUCUUUAAUAUAAUUUGUGUUUUAUAUGCCAUUGAGUUCAUGAGAUGUUUCAAUUAAUUAUUUAUGACUUAAAGCUUUAGAUAGACGUGUGGGAAGGGAGAGACUAAUUAAUAAGCAUUGGAAACAUAGACUUUGGAUAAUUAUCUCAUUUUCUUGUUCUUUUAAACAUGGUAAUGAUAAACACACAUACGUUUUUUUUAGUAAGUAGAGAUAUUGUCAAGUUGAGUCAAUUGACAUUGAAAAUAUAGAUAUUGGACAAUUAUUUCUUUUUCUUCUCUUUCAGACAUGGUAGAGGCAUACAUUGAUAUUUCUAAGUCUUUUACAAAGUAUACACUACCUUUUUCUUUUUUAGUUUUUUUGGGUCAAGUCAAUAGAUUAGUGGGUGGAGGAAAAACAACAAACUAACAAACAUGAACCUUAGAUUAUUACUUUUUUCUCUUUCACACAUGAUAGUGGUCCUAGUUCAUAAAUUUUUCUAUGUCCUUUAAUUGGCAAGGAUAGAGACUCUUCAUUUUUAUCUCUCAUGUUGUUAGUUUCCAUCUUUAAUAUCUUAGAUUUUUUUUUUAAUUUUAUCUUUAACUUGUAGCUUGGUGGAAAGCCAAUUUAUUGUGACUUGUAAGCCAUCUUGGAAUUUAAAAAAUAAAAAUAAAAUUAUAGAUACAUCAUCUUGGAAUUUAAGGUUUAAAAAGGCUUUGUGUGUUGGAACUACAUGAUUUGGUAUUAAUAAUAAUUUAAUAUAAAUAUUUUAUUUUAUUUUGCUCUCGUUGCAUCAAUAUAAUAACAAACUUAUAUUUAUACUAAACAAAUCAUCAUUGUACUAUGACCUUAUUUGAUAAUUACACUAAGUGUCUUAAUUAACAUAAUAAUCCUAAAUAAAUAAAAAUUUUCUAAUAUUUUUCAAAUUCUUAAAAUACUUUUAAUUUCAAUUGAAGUUAGAUAACUAAUUUCAAUAGCCCUCCUUGAGUCAAGCUUUAAAGUCAAUCAUACAAAAUAACAUCUUCAUCUUUUGUACAUAUUCGCCUUUAAUGGGUUUGUAAAAGAUAACUACAAUUUCAUCUUUUGAUUUGCCAAACCCAAGCUUUAUCUUACCAUUUCGUGAGUUCUCUAAUAUGAUGAAACUUGAUUCUUAUAUGCUUCUACAAUGAAAUAUUAGAUUCUUUGUUAUUGGUAUAGCAAACUUAUUAUCACACAAAAUCUUUGUAGUACAUUUUAAUUUAUGCUUUAACUCACUAAGAAUCCUAUGAAGCUAAGCUACUUGACAUGCUAUCAAAUUCACUACCAUGUAUUUAGCUUUUGUAGUGAUAAUGCUACAACUUGCUAAUUCUUUGAUGAUCGUGAGAAUGCUCUUGUUCCAAGAUAAAAAAAACAUAUCUAAUAGUCCUCGUUCUAGUCUUUACAUCACCUCCUUAGUCACUAUCAAUGUAACCCACUAAAUUAAAAUUGCUUAGUAAGAGUAAAAAAUUCCAUGAUCAAGAGUACCAUUGAUAUACAUAAAAUUCCCUUUGUUGCUUGCUAAUGUGUCUACUAUGGUUUUUCCAUAAAUUGAUUGAUAAUUCCCACUCCACAAACAAUAUUUGUCCAAUAUAAAUCAAACAACAAAAACUUUCCACUAUGCCCUUGAAAUAUGUGAAAUUUAAUAAUUCUCUAAUGUCUUCCUUUUUCAUCUUUAAUUGCUUUGUAAUAGGAGACUAAAUUGUUGAUAAUUAUUUCAUCUCGAAUAAUUUUCGAAUGUUUAUAACAUACUUCUCUUGUGAGAUGAAAAUAUCAUCAUUUGUUUGUUGGACCUCAAUUCCAAGAAAAUAGGACAUUAAUCCUAAAUCUAUCAUCUCAAUUUACUAUGUCAUUGUUGUUGGGAUAGAACCCUAGAAAGUAUGCAUGACAUGAUGUAUUCAUUAAUAAAUUUAUUUAUUUAUGAUGUUGGUUUUCUUUUAUUAUCCUAUUUUCAUUAAUUGGUUAUCUAAACAUUUAUGCCCACUAGCACUUUUAAAUCAUAUUUAUUUAUAUCAUAGUCUCAUUUAAUUUGUGUAUACUUUGUAGUUUGGUCUCAAAUGUUUGUACCGUUAUCCAACGGUGUAAAUUUUAUCACACACAUUCAAUGGCCCAAUGUGGACUCCAAUAGGUACUUAUGUACUUUAGUAUAUUCCUUAGAUAGAUAUAGUACCUUAGAUAAAUAUAGUAACUUUUAUAUAAAAAAUGAUCCUACUGAAAGUUUACUUUUAAAAGUUUUAUGUAAAAUUUACUAUUAUUUUUUAUUUUUUUAAAAAUAGAAAAUAAAAAAUAUAUCUAAACAACACCUAAAUUAAUAAAUAAUAUUUUUAUAUUCAAUUUAUUUUAUUCAUCUAAAUUUUAAUAACCAUUUACCAAGUUAAAAGGUCAUAAAAAAGAUUAAGAAUAUCAUACUUUGAUUAAUUAUUUAUAAUCAAUAAAAUAUAAAUAUUCUUAAUCGAAGUUUUGUUUUAAUUAGAUAAGUCUAACAUUAUUUCAUAACUAAUUCUAAGUCUCAUUUUUAUUUUUAUUUUUAUUUUCAAAAUGAAACCAUAAUCCUUUUGAACUAUGCCAUUGAGAUGGGUAUCAUUUAAACACAAUGAUGUUAUUGUUUAUCACUUUUAUGGGGGUAGUAUGUUAAACCUAUAUAUUUCACUUCAUUUCAUUUUUAUUAUAACAAGGGUGAUGCUAAUCGUACUCGUCUUUUCUAUUUGUACACUUAGGUGGUGUUUGUUUUUUGGCUGAACAGAAAAAGUCAAAAUAUUUGUCUUUUCUUAUUCAGUUAAAAAUAACAUGUUGACAUCAUCCAACAUAACUAAACUGAACCUAUUGAUAACAAGUUCAUUUUAGCUAUGUUGGAUGAUGUCAACAAGUUACUUUUAGCUUAAUAGAAAAAACCAAAUAUUUUGGUUUUUUCUAUUCAGCCAAAAAACAAACACCACCUUAGCCUCAUUUGAAAAAAAACAAAGAAAAGUAGGUGUAAAGAGAAAAAAAAAAGGUGGGUACAAUUAUUAUUUUCUUUAUGGUAAACAUAAAUACUUGCAUAAUAGUGGCCUUCGAGGUAAUGAGGGAAAAGUCCUCACUCAAUUCCUUGCGGAAUAGCAGACUUUUUGAGGUAUAACGAGAGUUUGAAGAGGUAAAGGCCUUACUCUAUUCCUGCCCUUCAGUAAGGAAUAAUGGCCUUAAUUUUUUAUUUUUUAUUUGGGUCAAAGCCUGACUCUAUUCUUGCCUUUCAGUUAGGAAUAGCCGCUUUGGAGAAGGGUAAGAAUAAUGAGUGAAGUCCUUACUCUAUUCCUAGCGGAAUAGCAGACUUUGGUUAUUAGGGAGAGGCCUUACUUUAUUCCCUUCAAGAAUAGCAGCCUUGGUUGAAGAGAAGUUGUAGCUCACAAUUUCUUACCACAUUGAAUGAAUCAAUUUCUUACCAUAUUUCUUUCAUUUCCUAUGAAGAAAAAUUAAUAAUCAGGUCAUAAGUUAGUUGGAAACUAAAGUAAUGAUGUAAUCAACUUCUUUUUUUUCCUAAGUUUGUGAAGAUGUCUUGAUUAAUAUGUUUUUCUUUGUAAUGAAGUUUCAAUAGGUUGAUAUAACUUAAAAUAAGAGAUCAAAUAUUUGUAAUUAUUUUCGCACCUCGAUUCAUAGAACAUCUUUCAAUUCUUCCUCAUUUGUCAUUAAUUAAUAAUUAAAUUUGAUUUUGGAUCCGGAUGUGUUCAUGAAUUUACAUAAGUUGAGCUUAAUUAAAGCCAUCAUACAUAGGAAGAUCAAACAUUUGAAAAUAUACUAAUAAUAUAAGAAUUUAUAUAAUUGGUUAAGAGAAUUUUUAUAAGAAUUGAUAACAUUUAAAAGAAAAAACAGUUUAAUAUUGGGUUAUAUACUUUUCUAAUACAAAAAUUGUUAUGUAAAAAUUAUGAAUUUGACUCUUCAAUAAAUAAAAGCUACAACUUCUUAACCAUAAAAAUAAAUAAAUAAAUAAAAUAAAAAUUAUGAAUUUGACUCUUCAAUAAAUAAACCAACUACCCAAACAAUGCCCUAAAAAGAAUACAUGCAGGGAGCUUUGCCUUCAUCAACCUCUCUUAAAUUUGGAGCCACUUUGCCCCCUUUUUUAAGGGUAAAACUUAGGUAACGCUCAUAAUUAUUUAUUUUCAAAAUCACUUCAUUUAUUAUAUAAUAUGUUAUUAAACAUAUUAUUAUUACUUACAUUAAUUGAUUCUCUGUGAAUGAGAAAGGAAUGGCAGCACCUAAAGUGGCUGGAAAAAUAUGAGCAACGACGGUACAGUAGGGUCUGUUUGGUAGUUGGUUUGAAAAAUAAAUCAGAAAAAUAAUUUUUGAAAAUAAUUUUUUAGAUUUUAUAGAAUAAAAAUCUAUUUAAAUACUUAAAAUAUUUUUAAAAAUAAUUUUUAUACUUAAUUAUUUUACAUGUUUAUGUAAUUAUUUUUUUAAAAUAACAUUAAAAAAAUAAAUGAAAGUAAUAUAAAACACUUGAAAUAUGUUAUCCGAAAAUAUUUUGUUUUUUGUGUUUUAUUGAUAAACGUGUUUUUUCUUUAAGAAAAAAAAAAAAAAAACCGUUGUUAAAAACAGUUCUGAAACAGGAACUAAGUUAUUGCUUUCAAAUUAUGUUUUUGUUUAACACUUUUAAACAGUAUUUUCUUAUGUUUUAAGAAUUGGAAUUAGAAUCAGCAGAAGAAGCGUUUUUUAAAAAUAUAAAAAUAAAAUCGAAGUGCAUUGAAGAUGCUAAAGCCCAAAUGCAUCAGGGAAUGUGCUGAGUGACUGAGUCACUCGGUCGGAUCCCCAUCCCUCUAGUGAAAGCCUCAGAUCUAAGAUGAAACUAAUCCAACGGUCCGGAUAAUUUCACCCACAAACCCCGACCUCUCCCUAUAAUCUAUAUGCCUUGCAGAACCUCACACGUCACCAAAAUAUACGAAAAAUUCCCGUGUCAGCGUCCAACAGCGAACCAAGGCAUAUUUUCCUGCAACAUCUCAGCCGUCCAUUGUCUGGGUCCCAUUUUACCAUGUACGGCUCAGAUGUAUAGGCAAAAUCUUUAUAGGUACCCAGCGACGGACUCUGGGGCAAUGUUUUCAGAACCGGACCGGUGAUCGAACCGGAAAAGUUACCGGUUCACGGUUCACUGGUCGGACCGGCGGUCGAACCGCUAUUGAACCGGUGACGUCAUAAAUAUAUAAUUUAUAUAUUAUUAAAAUUAAAAAUAAUUAUAAAAAUUUUAAAAUAUAUAUGAAUAAAUUGAAAAUCAAUAAUAUUAUCAAAUUAAAUCAUAUUAAUAUUUUUAAUUUUAUUAAAUGAGAUAUGUAAAAUAUUUAAAUGUGAAAAUAUUAAAAAUGAAAAUUUAAACUAAUUUUAUCAUUUUUAAAAAUAUUAUAUUAUUUUUAUUUAACAUUACAAAAAAAAUUUAAAAUCUAAUAUAUAUUAUUUUGUUUAGCAUAUUAGGUAACAAAAGCCGUGUAGCUGGAGUGGUGCCUAGGCUGCCUUCCGAAACAGGGGUCCAAGGUUCAAUUCCUCUUGGCUGGGGACUUGUUAUUAUUUUUUUCAUUGCUUAGGUUGGUUAGGAAUCCCACAUCGGAUUCUAAGAGAAAUGAGGAUGCAAAGGGUGCCUAUAAAUGCUAUCCACAUUGAAGACCAAAGCAUUGCUUCACUGGGUGGGCUGAAAAGUAAGCCCACAAUAUGAUUGAGUGGGGUUUGGGCUUUGUCAUGAUGAGACAAGGCCCAAAAUGGGCAUUUGCCAAAACAUUUUUAUGCAAUGAGCCUUUAAAAUGGAGGUUCAAAUUGAACCGUUCGGUUCAAUUAGAACCGUCCGGUUCAACCGAGUCGCCGGUCCGACCGCCGGUUUUGGCGGUUCGUGGCCGGUUUAAACCUUAAGCUGUUCAAUAGGGCAGACCGGACCGGAAUUGUGACCGGUCGACGGUUGAACCGGUUGGACCGGCCGGUCCGGUCCGGUUUUUAAAACAUUGCUCUGGGGACUCUCUUUCGUCUUUUUUUUUUUUUUUUUCUUUUUCUCCUUUCCUCCUCUGUGGCGGCUCUAAGCUUUUUUUGGGUACCGAGCUUCACGCUCGAUACAGAAACCCUAACUGCUCGUACUAUACAAAACCAAACCGCAUAUUAGAGCUUCGGCGACACAGCAAUGGAGGUUUCCCUAGGAAGACGCCACCACACUUUUCUAUAUGAUUUAUCCACAUUAAGAAAAAAGUAGAAUCCGAAAAUGUCAUGCAGGAGACCAUUUUUAUUUAAAAUUAUGCUUCCUUUUUAAAGUGGAAGGAAUCUAGGUACUGCGUUCAUAUGGUAGAGUCAAACUUUCCAGGCAAAAACAGAUACUAUAUAUAUAUAUAUAUAUAUAUAUAUAUAUGUGAGUGCUUGGUCUCCUGGGAAUUCAUAAGAAAAAACCAACAGUUGCAAAGCCUCUCUUCUAUUACUUGCAGACCAUGGCAGGACGGUCCUUUCAACACCUUCUUAGCUUUCUUAUGCUUUUGUUGCUAUGUGCCAAACCUGGCAUGGGGAAUGUUACUGGGUGCAUAGAGAGGGAGAGACAAGCUCUCCUUCACUUCAAACAUGGCCUUGUGGAUGACUUUGGCCUUCUUUUCUCAUGGGGAGACGACAACAGAGAUUGUUGCCAAUGGAGAGGAGUCCAGCGUAGUAACCAGUCAGGUCACAUCAUCAUGCUUCAUCUUCCUGCCCCGCCAAAUGAAGAAUAUGAUGAAUAUGGUAUUUACCAAUCUCUUAGAGGCGAUAUAAGUCCUUCGCUGCUUGAAUUGGAGCACUUGACUCAUUUGGAUCUCAGCUGUAAUGAUUUUGAAGGGAGGCACAUACCUCCAUUCCUUGGUUCCCUCAGCAGAAUGCAGUACCUCAAUCUCUCUCAGGCCAAUCUCGCUCAAACUGUUCCCACUCAACUGGGGAAUCAUUCCAACUUGCUUUCCCUUGAUCUCAGCGAUAAUUAUUUGAAUUUUGGGAACCUUGAGUGGCUUUCUCGUCUUUCUUCUUUUAAGACACCUUGACCUGAGUUCUGUCGACCUUAGUAAAGUCAUCCACUGGUCCCACGCAAUUAAUAAACUCCCUUCUCUCAUUCACUUGGAUUUACAAAAUUGUGGUCUCCCUCCCAUCCCUCCACUCAUCAUUCCGUCUCUUUCCCAUGUGAAUUCCUCUGUCCCUCUUGUUUUCCUUGAUCUCUCUAGGAAUUAUCUCACUUCUUCAAUAUAACCAUGGCUGCUCAACUUUAGUACCACCCUCCUUCAUCUUGAUCUCUCGUUCAGUGAUUUAAACGGUUCGAUUCUGAAAUAUGCUUUUGGGAACAUGAGUUCCCUUGAAUAUCUUAAUCUCCAUUCGAGUGAACUUGAUGAUGAGAUUCCGGAUACAAUUGGAGACAUGGGAUCACUUGCAUAUCUUGAUCUCUCUUGCAAUCAACUGCAGGGCUCAAUUCCAAAUACAAUUAGGAAGAUGGUUUUACUUUCACAUCUUGAUCUCUUUCGCAAGCAACUGCGGGGCUCAAUUCCAGAUACAGUUGGGAAGAUGGUUUUACUUUCACGUCUUAAUCUUUCUGGCAAUCAACUGCAGGGCUCAAUUCCACAUACAGUUGGGAAGAUGGUUUUACUUUCACAUCUUGAUCUCUCUGGCAAUCAACUACAGGGCUCAAUUCCAAAUACAGUUGGGAAGAUGGUUUUACUUUCACAUCUUGAUCUCUCUCGCAAUCAAUUGCAGGGCUCAAUUGCAGAUACAGUUGGCAACAUGGUUUCUCUUGGAAAACUCUAUCUCUCUUUGAAUCAUCUUCAAGGUGAGAUUCCAAAAUCCUUGAGUAAUUUAUGUAACUUACAAGCAUUAGAGUUGGAUAGAAACAAUAUCUCUGGACAGCUUGCACCAGACUUUGUGGCCUAUGCAAAUGACACAUUAGUGACUUUGUCUUUAUCAGCAAACCAGUUCAGUGGAUCAGUUCCUGCUCUCAUUGGAUUUUCAUCCUUGAGAGAGUUACAUCUUGAUUUUAAUCAACUAAAUGGAACUUUACCUAAAGGUCUUGGACAGUUGUCCAACCUUCAAUCCUUGGAUAUUGCCUCAAAUUCAUUGCAAGGCACUAUCAAUGAAGCCCAUCUCUUUAAUCUAUCCCAGUUGUCCUAUUUAGACUUAUAUUAGCUUCCAACUCUCUCACUUUCAACAUGAGCUUGGAGUGGGUUCCUCCAUUUCAACUGCUUCAUCUACUAUUAGCCUCCUGCAAAUUAGGACCUCUUUUUCCUAGUUGGCUUCGUACUCAAAACUCGUUGAGAGAGCUUGAUAUCUCCAAUUCUGAAAUUUCAGAUGUCCUCCCAGACUAGUUCUGGAAUGUAACCAUCUCAACUGUCAGAACCUUGAGUAUUUCCAACAAUCAGAUCAAAGGAACCUUACCGAAUUUAUCAUCAAAAUUUGGUUAUGUAUCUAACAUAGAUAUGAGCUCAAACUGUUUUGAGGGUUCAAUACCACAACUUCCUUAUGACGUGCAAUGGUUGGAUCUCUCCAAUAACAAGUUCUCAGGGUCCAUUUCUUUAUUAUGUACAGUGGGUAAUCAGUUACUUCUACUUGACCUCUCAAACAACUCGUUGUCGGGAGGGCUGCCCAAUUGUUGGGCACAGUGGGAAAGUUUGGCAGUUCUUAAUUUGGAAAGUAACAGAUUUUCUGGGCAAAUUCCAAAUUCAUUUGGCUCUUUGCAAUCAAUUCAAACACUACAUUUGCGCAAUAAAAAUUUAACCGAAAAAUUGCCUUUAUCUUUUAUGAAUUGUACAAGUUCGAGGUUCAUUGAUUUGGCAAAAAAUAGGUUAUUGAUUACUACUCAAAAAGGGCUAUUUGAUAGCUUGUAAUUAACUCUUUUAAACAAUUUUGAGUAGUAGUUAUUGCCUUUUAACCCAAUUAGCAUAUUGAGGACCUUUGCAAUCACUUCUAAUCAUUUUGUGUAAGUUUUGGUGUUUUUGUUAGUAAUUUGAUCACCAAAGCAACCCAAGGUGGAGGAGAGUUAUUUGGAAUC